AAAGAUAACGACAACAGGAUCACAUCUCACAAUCUACAUUUACCAAUCCACAAGCAAUUCAUGUGAUGCAAUUCCAUACAGCUAGUGAUCCUUAAAGAUGAUGUAUGCUUCUAAACACUCCUUAGGCGCUGGAUAAUGCGAUGUACAAUACAACAGUCAUCCUAUUUAAAAAUGCUCUCUACCCGGAAGCUUUGUUUUUAAACUCUAUUUGUUCAUCCAUGAAAAUAAUUCAAAAACCUUUUAAAACUAUUUUUCACUCGAAAACUCUAUUUUUGAAAGCCGAUUACCUCGAGGGGUAGAAAACCACAACGUAUAAAUCCAGAUACCAAAGAUCCAUAAAACUCCGAUUGCAUGCAUAAUAGAAAACAUCAACUCAUACAAGUUCACGAUUAGUCAAGCAGUAACUAUGAUCAUCUAACUGAACCAUUUAUUAUUUAAAUUACUAACUAUAGAAAAGAAAAUAACCAGGGUAAUGACUGCUAAUAUGGCCUAGCUAGAACGUCUUUCCGUCGCACCAAGAACCAACUCCUUGCCCUUGCCACUUGGGGAAAUGGGGGUGAGAAACCACAAUCAAGGUUUUCCAGUGGGUACGACAGAGCCACGAAGGCAAAUCAUAUUUACUAGAAAACAAAGGAAAUAGAUCAACAUGUAUACAAGAUAUAUAAGUGAACAACAGUAUUAAUUACAAAAUAGUAAAUGAGUAAGGGAUAAGGCUACUACUGUAUCAUAAUCUCAACUGAAUAGAUGCCUCAAAGGUAAAUGAUCCAAUCAAAUCCAAUCUGGUGCCUGCCAUAUGACCGCAGACCUUAAGCUUGCAUGUCACAGGGCAUACACUUACUUGAUUCACGUGUCCACUGACGACCUAUUCGGAUACGUACAGCACCUGGUCGGUGGCCAAACCAACCGGUGUCUAGAAUACACAGUGCCGUGACUAAAUCAUACUGAUAUGCUCAAUGUGAAAAUCAGUAGAAAAUCGAUGCCCUGCCCUAAGCUAGAUACAAAGGCGUAUAACGCCGAACCAUGAUCAACUAGAUUGAAACUGUAAUGUACCGAGUCCUCGAUGCGUAAACCGAACUUUAGUCCAAAUUGACCAAAGUAUGGUACUGGACGCUUCGGAAAGGUCCGUUGAGUGUUCUGAGCGAUCGAAAUGGCUUAUAAGGGUAUGAAGGACCUUGGAGAGCAAGAUGGAGAAAUUACAAAAAAUUUCGUGCUGGAAAUGCUCUCGGGACUCGAACAUGAAAAAUCUCAGCGUUAAGUGAGGGCUUGCUUUGGUGAGGGGCCUUGGUGCAAUUAUGCAGGGCAAGUGUUUAUAUGAAGGUUCCAAGCUUAUUCCUUCAUUUCCCUCACGCUUGCAACAUAAGAGAAAAGCUUCUCUUUCUCUCUCUAAAUCUCUCUCUCUCUCUCUUAGGGUUUGCUCCAAGAGAUGGAGUUGGUGGAGGAGAGCUUGCUUGGUGGUGAAGCUAUCAUCUUCUUCACCCUAGGCUUGAGAAGAAGCUUGAGUUGAGAUAAGCCUCAUGGAUUUUGAGGGUUUUGGAGUUUAGGUUUUGUAUAAUCCCUUAGAUGUGAGUUCUAAUGGAGCCCUAGAUGAAUCUAAACCAUGUUAUAGCAUAAACUACCAUGAGAUUUGGAAUUUUAUGCCAUAUGAGGAUUUUUAGGGUUUUGAAGAGGGCUUUGAUCAUGAUUGGAUUUGAUCUAAAUUCAGCCUAUGUAAACCUAAUUGAAGGUGAAACCGACACGGUGGGCAACUCGAAUCGGAGUUCCUACGGGCAUGCAGCGAGUUAUUGAAGAAAAGUACGAUUUUUGGUUCAUUUGCAUUGGGUCGAGCCGAAACGACGUCCAUAAAUCGCGAGGCUUGGAUUCUCGCACCUCGGCAUCGUAGAGAGGUGGGGUGGUGCUAUCCGAAACAAUCGGAUUUCCUUUUAUGUCUAUGUCAUCAUAUUGGCCAUGUAUACACAGGUGUAGGAUUCAUGCAUUGUAGAAUAGUUUGUAUUGGUUAUUCCAUUCGUUGCAUGCUCUCAUGGUAAAUAUAGAAAAUAUGAGAUGGAACAUAGUGGGUUAUGUGCAUGAGGAUUGGAUUGAGAAUAAGAACUCUAUAAUGCUAUGACAUUGUGAACUUACAAACAUAGUGACAUAAACAGGUGGCAUUUGGAUAGUAAACUGAGAACACUCAUGACAUGAGAAUAGGGAUUGAUAUCUCCCUUGGCAUUUGUUACCACUAAUUGGUAGGGUAUCGUCGGGAUAAAGGAUUGGAUCAUACUCACAUUUUGUCUGUUCGCUUGGCGUUGGUCGCUCCACCCAAGCAGUGGUUUCCGGAGUACUUCACGGUAAGGGUUAACGUAGCUACCCUGCAGACGGUCCCCAAUGGGUGUAGCUGGGCUCCCCAUUUGCUCGAUUCGUGUCACGCCCCGGGACCCUGCAUAGGUCCGCCCGGUGUGUGCCCAGACCCGCCAUAUGCCUGCACAUAUAAGGCGUCUACAAGAAUAGAGAAAUGAAAGCAAGAAGGAGUAAGACAACUAGAGAUAUCAGAGCAACCAGCAGCUAAAAUACUAGUAACAAGUAGAGAGAAAAGAAAACUAAUCCACUAAUAGUAAAACAUAAGGAAAAUACAUCAUCUGUCUCAAAAUACAAAAUGGGUGGUCUCUAUACAUGGUACAACUCUCAACCUCUCCAAAAUAAAACCAAUGAGAGGUAGACCACCUAUCGAUACGUCCCUCGCAAAAGAGCUAGCUCGAGGCGAUGCCCUUUCCGCGAUCCCUAGCCUCGCCCGGUGUGGAAGGCUCUGAAAGGAAACAAGAAACAGGGGGCGUGAGAACUAUAAUUUAUAGUUCCCAGUGGGCAAUUACUGACCUCGGCACAAUGCACCACUAGGCCGAAAAGAGUAAGAUAGGUACGAAAAGCAAUAGAAAUAAACUACAGAUAUUAAAGCAUGUAUAAGCGCUAACUACUAUGCCAUAAGCGUUAAGAUGACAAUAUGUGGCUCAUUCAUUCUAUCAUGCUCAAGUAUGUCCAAUACAUAACUAGUAUGAUCCCAUAUGGCAAGCAAGUAUACUAAAAUGCAAUGAGCGUUAUUAUCAAGUAUACUAUAAGUCCAAAAGCCCAAACCUAUGCUAUAAGCAUGUCCAAGAAACCCGACCACUAUAAUCUAUUUAGUAAUGAUUUUACUUAUGCGACUCCGUGUCGAUUUCCAUUUCCAACGAAGGACCUACCCAAGGUAGUCCGGCUUGUGCCCCCUAAGUACCUGUGGUAGCCCAACAUUCCCACUCGAGGAAUGAGUCUGUCCCACCCGGCCCCAUAGGCUUCUCAAUACCGCACGAGCGAACAUAAGUCGCAUAGGCUAACUCCGGAGUGCCGGCUUGUAGGGAGCGACCCUCACAAGUAUGUGCGAAUGAGCACAAAUAGCAAGCAAGCGUAGUCAUCGUCUCAAAUACCUAAUCAUCAUGUCUCUAACAUGGUAAUAGUCACUAGCAACCCAUCGGUCUAGUCCAAUGUCCAACGUGAAGGUUUAACCAUUCAUUAUGUCCAAUGCCCUUUUAUGGCAUUACAUCUCACUAUGCCGAAAUCUUGUUCCAACACUAAUGCCACUUUAUGACAUUAGGUUUACUAAGUCCACACAUAUUUCAAGCCUAAUGCUCCUUUAUGACAUUAGUUUACUAUACCAAUUCGAAGCCCAAUGUCUCUUUAUGACAUUGGCUUGCUAAUUCACAAAUCACUCUAGUCUAAUGUCCCCUUAUGAUAUUAUCUACUAGGUUCACAUAUGGCCCAAGCUCAAUGUCGCUUUAUGACAUUAGCUCACUAAUUCACAUGAAAUUUAAGUUCCAAGCCACUUCAUGGCCUAAUGUAUUCUCAUAUGUCCAAGGUAUACGAUCAUGGUCAUUUCACUAUAUGAAACAUGAUUUUAAGUCCCGAAUACGAAUGCUAAACUCAUGCAUAAAUCUCACAUGCAAGCUCUCUACUACAUAGAGAUCCAAAAAUACAUUGUAUACAACAUAAGCAUUUUAAGCAUUCUAAAAUUCAUAAAUAAUGCAUCUAACAUAAACAUGCAUGAUUUUUCAUUUUACGAUACUUAAAUCCACAAAAAUGAGAUUUUUUCAUUCUUAGGUGAGAUCAAACCCACCGAGUGUCACGCCCCGGGACCCAGCGGAAGCCCGCCCGGCAUAUGCCCAGACCCGCCAUAUGUCUAAAACAUACAAGGUGUCUAAAACAAAGUGAUAAAUAAAGCAGUAAAAAGAGAACAUCUAGGAGUAUCAAAGCAAGUAUAUCUAGAGGCUACAAUAGAGGAAAAGAACCAUAAAACUAAAAUCCACUAGAUGAAAACAUAAAGUAGUACAAUAGGAAUCCCAAGUACGAAAACUAAGCAAAAUACAUAGGUGGUCUCUAUACAUGAAACAAAAUCUCUCUCUUGCAAUACGACAAAUGAAAGAGAAAGCCACCUAAAAGCAAGCGUCCUCUCCGCUAGCUAUCUACGCGACACCCUUGCCGCGAUCCCUUACCUCCGCCGGUGCCGAAGGCUCUGAAAAGAAACCAUAGAAGUAGGGCAUGAGAACUAUUAAAAAUAGUUUCCAGUGGGCAAUUACUGACUUCAGUGCAAUGCACCACUAGGCCCAAAAGCUACAAAAGAUGGGUCAAUAGAUAGUAAACGAAAACGAUAAGUAAAUAAAUAUACAAGCUUGCUACCACAUUUUUUUACGAUUGGUAUAGCAUCCAACACAUGAGCCGGAUCAUGGAUGUACUUCCGAAGGACCAAUACAUGAAAAAUAUUGUGUACACCCGAUAGGUUCGGUGGUAGAGCAAGUCGAUACGCUACCGGGCCCACACGCUCCAAAAUCUCAUACGGUCCAAUGAAUCAGGGGCUGAACUUACCCCGGAUACCAAAUAUUCCAAUUCUCUUGGUCGGCGAGACUUUCAAAAAGACAUGAUCUCCAAUCUAAAACUCCAAAUCUCGUCGACGCUUGUCAGCAUAACUCUUUUGUCUACUCUGGGCUGUCAACAGUCGCUCCCGAGCAAUACGAAUCUUGUCCUCUACUUCCUGGAGCACAUCGGGGCCUAAAGCCAAUCUCUCGCCAAUUUCGCUCUAAUGAAGUGGCGAUCUACACUUUCGUCCAUAAAGUGCCUCGAAGUGUGCCAUCUUGAUGCUUGCUUGAUAACUAUUGUUAUAAGCAAACUCUGCCAUCGGUAGAUGCUGCGACCAUCCUCCCUGGAAAUCGAUCACAAAGACUCGAAGCAUAUCCUCAAGAGUCUGUAUAGUGCGCUCGGACUGCCCGUCACUCUGAGGGUGAAAAGCUGUAUUGAAAUCCAAGCGUGUGCCCAAGACAUUUUGUAAGCUCCUCCAAAAAUGAGACACAAAACGGGGGUCUCGAUCCGAAACUAUAGAAGUAGGUACCCCGUGCAAUCGCACAAUCUCAUCAAGAUAUACCUGUGCGAGUCUCUCACCAGUCCAAGUAGUGUGAAUAUGUAUGAAAUGAGCCGAUUUCGUCAACCUAUCCACGAUCACCCAAAUAGCAUAAUGCCUGGCCUGUGAGCGAGGCAAUCCCAUCACGAAGUCCAUGUUGAUCUUCUCCCACUUCCACACUGGAAUCGGUAAGUUCUGCAAUUUUUUCGGGGGGACUCGAUGCUCAGCUUUCACCUGUUGGCAAGUUAGACAUCUAGCAACAAACUCACCAACGUCCUUUUCAUCCCGGGCCACCAAUAUAGCAACUUUAAGUCCUUGUACAUCUUGGUGCCUCCCGGAUGGAUCGCAUAGGGUGCACGGUGUGCUUCUUGAAGAAUGUCCUCUUUAAUACCCAAAUCCGCCGGUACACACAACCGCCUGCGGAAACGCAUCAAUCCAACACCGUCCACAGAGAAGUCACCAGUGCAACCAUCAACCAUCUUAGCUCUAAGCCUUUGCAACUCCACAUCGUGAGCUUACUUUUCCUUAAUUCUAUUCAAAAGGGUGGGUUGCACCACCAAAGCUAUCAACCUCAAAGGUGUAUCAGGAGCCACCACCUUCAACUCCAACCGCUUCAUCUGCUAGAUCAAGUGCGGUUGAGUAACCAUAAGCAUCGCUAAGUUUUCCAUCGAUUUCCGACUUAGCGCAUCCGCCACCACGUUAGCCUUGCUCGGGUGGUAAAGGAUCGUCAAAUCAUAAUGCUUGAGGAGCUCCAACCAUCUGCGCUGCCUCAAGUUCAACUCUUUCUGAGUGAAUAAAUACUUUAAACUCUUGUGAUCCGUAUACACCUCACACCGCUCACCAUACAGAUAAUGGCGCCAUAGCUUCAAUACAAAGACUACGUGUAAUAUACCAAAACUUCGAAAAAUAAAUAUCGAACUUUAGUCAAAUUGACCAAAGUGCGAGGAUGGUACACUUCGGAAAGCCCGAAGGUGUUAAAAUGAUCAAAAGUGAGUUACGGGAGGUUUUCGAGAGCUAAAGAAUCAAAUUCUGCAAAACUGCAGAUUUUGAGCUCUCGGGGACCGGUCCCUGGUGGGAGAGACCGGUCCCCGAACGCGUAUGAAAUGAGACAGCCGAAAAAUCGGCUAAGUCCCGGAAGAUUAGCUCUCGGGAACCGGUCUCUGCCUGAGAGACCGGUCCCCCAGAGACCGGUCCCAUCGUAGGGAGACCGGUCGCAUCGCGCGCAGCGACUCUGGCUGCGCAGGGUGGACGUUCGGGAACCGGUCCCUGCUCGGGGAGACCGGUCUCUGCCUGCGCGAUCAGCCCAGUUCGGGCAGCGUAUUAAAGUGAAAGUUGAGGGGUUUAGCUGCAAUUUUGCAACCCAAUAGGCUAAGUAUGAGGGCAAAUGAGAUAUUUCUCUCAUUUCCUCACCCUCUCACACUCUCUUCUCUCCCUCUCUCUCUCUAGAAGACAAAAGAGAAGAAGAAGAAAGGAAGAAGAAAAGGAAAAGAAGAGGAAGAAAGUGAAGAAGAAGAAGAAGAAGUGAAGAAACUCCUUCUCCUUCAUCUCUAGCUUGAAGAAAAGGAAAGCUUGAGGUAAGCUUUGAACCCUAAUGUAGUAAAACCCUAGAAAUGGGUUUGAAUGAACCUAGAAAUGAUUUUUAAUGGAAUGUCUAAUAGUUUUGAAGCUUUCUUUUGCUUCUUUAGAGAUCAAAACCUAGUUUUGCUAUAUAGGUGAGCUUGGACCACCUCUAAUGGUGAAAUCCAAACUAGGGAUUUGGAAAGGCUAAGAAUGGUUCUAAUGGACUAUUUAGAGUGUAAUGAAGCUACUUUUGCUUCUCUUUGAGAUCAAACCCUAGGUUAGAUACAUGUGUUGGAGCUAGGGCACCAAAUUGGGGCUUUUGCUCAUGAGGGUUUCUAAGUGCAAUUGACCCUCUAGAAACCUAAUUGGGGGUAUUUCCGACGCGUUGGUGCGUUCGGAUUAACGUUACGAAAAGCCGAUGAAAAGUUAUGGGCAAAAUGGCCUAAGUUGGCUUCGUUUUGCCGCAGGUAAAGAACGAAGGAUCUAAAAAUCCCGAGAAAAUCGUCGAAGCACCUAAAGAGACCUACAAGGUGGGUGGUGCUUUUCAAACUCAUUGAAAUUCUCUCUAUGCCUAAUGUGUCAUUCUUUGAGCAUAUGUUCUAUAUAUUGUUGCAUGCAUUUUAGGGUAAAGUAAUGAUGAAAUGUGAUGAUUGCAUGAUUGUGAGCACAACUUGCAUAAUGAGAUGGUUGAGAACCUAAUAAUAUCAAAACCCUAGAUGUAUGCAUGAGAGAAAAUGUGAGUACCCAAAGUGAGCAAAAGAACAAAGUGGCACAAUGACAUAGAUCGAGUGGCAUUUGAAAAUGUAAAGUAAAGAGACACUAGAGAUAGUGUGAGGUAAAGAACCAAUGUAAUGUAAAGAAUGCUGAAAAUGAUAAUGCUUAAAGUUAACGCAAUGUGGGAAGUAAAGAACGUGAAAUGCUAGAGGUAGCCAAAAGUAAAGAAUGUAAAGAAUAUAAUUGCUAGAGUUAGCAAAAGUAAAGAACAAUGUAAAGAAUGUGAUUGCAUGAGUUUGCAACAUAAAGUGAUGUAAAGAACACUAGAGCUAGUGUAAAGUCAAGAUUGAACUUAUAAAUCCUUUGAGUUAAGGAUAUGAUCAUGCUUGCUAUGAGUUCCGUGCUCGAGGGCGGUCGCUCCCCCUCGGGCGAUGCGCUCCGGAGUUAUGCAUCCGGGUUGGAGUAGACCCGUAAGGACGGUCCUAGCUGGUGAGUUCCUGCGAUGAUGGACUUAAUGUGAAGCAAGUCGAUGUGGCGAAGCCCCCGGGUUAGCCUUAAUGAUUAAAGAACAAAGAACAAAGAGUAAAGAAUAAAGAACAAAGCACAAAGUAAAGUCAAAGAAUGAAAGAAUUUGCAUAAUCUGCAUUUAUUUAAUGUUGAGCAUACUUCUUGCUUAUUGUUCAGGCAUAUUAGCAUCAUGUUAUAGAUUGGUUACUAUACAGCUUAUUCUUUCUACUAUGCCUGAGUUAGUCCUAGUGGGAAAGUCGGUGAUGUUGAGGCCGAACCCACUGGGAACUUUGUUGUAGUUCUCACCCCACUAUUUCCACAGAGCCGGGACCGAGCGAGCCGGCGAGCGACCGAGGUAAAGGUAUCGCGCCUUAGUCAGAGGCCACCACAGUUGUGUUCAUUUUGUAGUAAAGUACCCUAUGUUCAUCUUUUGUAUAUGAUGAUUAGUGAUGCAAAGAAAAGAAUGUAAUGUGCAUUUUGAGGUAAAUGUGAUGUAAGAAAGAAAUGAUGUAAUGAAUGUAAGAAUUCGAUAAAUUACUAGAAUGCAAUGUAUGUGAUCUAAAAUGAAUCAUAUUACUUGUGAAUGUUUCGUUUCCUUUUUCUUUCACUAAUGGCUAUUGCUUACCCUCGUGUAAGCCGUUUGUGUAUGUUUCCGCUAGUGCUUUUCUCUAUUGAUGAAAAUGUGCAUGUGAUGAGCCUUGGGCGGAUAGGGAAAACUCUGUCCGUUCGGCGUCUGUUUGACGUGCUCGGGUCGGGCCAAAUUGGCAUCGGUCCCGGGGCGUGACACUACGGCCGCCAACUCCAAGUCGUGAGUAGGGUAAUUCCUUUCAUACUCCUUAGCUGGCGAGAAGCAUACGCGAUCACUUUCCCGUCCUGCAUCAAAACACAGCCCAAUCCAUUAAGGGAAGUAUCACUAUAAAUCACAUAUCCUGCUCCCGCAAUUGGCAAGGUUAGGAUCGGGGCAGUCGUCAAUUUCUGCUUCAGCUCUUGAAAGCUUCUUUCACACGCAUCGUUCCAGAUGAACUUAACGCCUUUAUGCAUGAGCCUCAUGAGGGGAGUAGAUAACUUUGCAAAUCCCUUAACAAACCGUCGGUAGUAGCCGGCCAAACCAAUAAAACUCCGUAUCUCGGUAACACUCGUCGGCCUCGGCCAAUCCUUGAUAGCUUCAAUUUUUCUCAGAUCCACGGCUAUAUCCGAUCCAGAAAUCAAGUGGCCCAAAAACGCAACCUCUCUAAGCCAAAACUCACACUUUUUCAAUUUGGCAUAGAGUUUCCUUUCCCGAAGCACUUGAAGUACUAGCCUCAAAUGUUCCUCGUGAUCCGCAUCACUUCGGGAAUGGACCAAAAUGUCGUCGAUGAACACCGCGACGAACCUCUCUAGAUAAUGCUUGAAAACACUGUUCAUUAGAUCCAUAAAAGCUGCCGGAGCAUUAGUGAGCCCAAACGGCAUAAUUGUAAACUCAUAAUGUCCAUACCGUAUUCUGAAAGCCGUCUUCGAUACAUCCUCGGGUGCAAUUUUCAGCUAGUGAUAUCCCGACUUCAAGUCGAUCUUAGAAUAUACACUAGACCCCUGAAGCUGAUCAAAUAGAUCAUCGAUCCUCGGCAACAGAUACUUGUUCUUGAUCUUGACUUUAUUAAGUUCACGAUAGUCCACGCACAAGCAAAGUGAUCCAUCCUUCUUCUUGACAAAUAGGACCGGUGCUCCCCAAGGUGACACACUCGGUCGCACAAAACCCUUAUCUAGAAGAUCUUACAACUGUGCUUUCAGCUCUCUCAAUUUCGCUGGUGCCAUCCUAUAGGGCGCCUUUGAGAUUGGAGUAGUCCCGAAAACAAGAUCUACCACAAACUCAAUCUCUCUAUCAGGUGGCAGGCCUCGUAGCUCUGCUGGAAACACGUCUCCAAACUCCUACACUAUAGGGAUACCCUCGAUCCUAAGGGCGUCAGCAUCACCCCGCAGCAUCACCCCGCAACACGACAGUAGCCAAAUAGGUUACGCAGCCUCUGCUAAUCAACUGUCUAGCUCGAGAGGAGCUAAUCGUCAUCGCAAACAGUGAACUCUGGCAUCCACAGUAUGCAACCUCCUCCUGCCCCGGCUCUCUAAAGGUCACCGUUCGAUUCUUGUAAUCGAUAGUGGUGAAGUACUUGGUAAACCAAUCCAUACCCAAGACAACAUCAAACUCUCCGAGUUUAUGCAAAACUAGAAAAUCUACGGGCAUGAUCCAAUCUCCUACCUGAAUCCGGCAACUAGGGCAAAACUCUCUAAUGUCCAAGGAAUGGUCGGGGACAACAACACGUCCCGGAUGCAACAAAGAAACAAAGGGGAUGCCAUGCAACUCGGCAAACAACCGAUCUAUGAAUGAAUGUGAUGCACCAGGAUCAAAUAAUGCACGGACUCGAAUGCCAUUUAGUAAAAUGAUACCUGCAACCACAUUCUCGGCUGCUGCCGCCUUCUCAGUCUCGGCCACGUACAUGGGCCCACUUGGGGCCUGUCGUGACCCCUCCGUCUGCCACUGAACUGGUGGCCGCCUGGCCUGAUGAUGAGCAGAAUGUGUCCCCUGGUUGGGACCCGGUGAAGCUGGUACCGAUGCUGAUGAUGGCACUGGCACUGGACCCCUCGGGCAGUCCGACUGGAAGUGGCCCUCUUGGCCAUAUGAAAAGCACCUGCCCCGACUGCGUUUAUACUGUCGUGAAAAAUAAGGACCACCGCAGAUCACGCAGCGCAGAGCCUGACGACGAUCAGGUCCUUCUCGCUGAGUAGACGAGCCACGUCCUCGCGACUGGCUCCGGCUCCUGGGAUGCCUCGGCAUCCUCCGUGAGUGCAUCUGACUCGCACCCUCAGCCGCGGGCCUCUUGCCUUUCCCCUUGUCCAAGCCCUCGCGACGCUCCUGCAACUCCACCGCGCCGCUCUCCACAUUGAGCGCGCGGUUCACCACAUCUCUGAAGGUCUGGAGGUUGGAGGACUGCACCAACCGGAAGAUCGAAGGCCGUAAUCCACGCUCGAAAAUGCGGGCCUUGCCCUCGUCGUCCCGCACAACAAAGGGCAUAUAAUGAAGAAGCCGGGAGAACUCCCUCUCGUACUCGGCCACGGUCCUGUCUCCCUGGCGCAUCCCGCGCAAGUCCUGCUCCAUCUUCCUCUUGACACUGUUAGGGAAGUAAUGCGCCAGCAGAAGCUCCUUGAACUUCUUCCAUGUGAUCGCUGCAACGUCGGUGUUGGGAUUUUCCUGAAGAUCCAACCACCAACAAUAGGCCUCGCCGUCCAAGUGGUGUGUGGCGAGCUAAACUCUAUCCCUCUCUUCCACAAGGUAUCACGGAAAAGCUUCUCCAUAUGCAUGAGCCACUUAUCCACAAUCCAGUAGUCCGCGUUCUCCCCGUCGAAGGUCCGCGGACUACACCUCCGGAACUCACUGAGGCGCUCCAUAAGUCGAUCCCGCUCAGCUCCCUCAACCAUCACGGGAAAAACUGCCCCCGCCAAAGGCACCUGAGCUGGUGGUGCCGCAAACUCCUCUCGAGGUGCAACAACCGGUGCUGUUCUCGAAGUACCGAGCUCUAGAGACGGUGCCCUCGGUGUCAUGACCACUGCCGGCGGGGGUGGGGGUAUGGGCACUUGUGCCCCCCUAGCAGCCACCUGCUGCACGAGCAACUCCUCUAGGCGCUCUAUCCGCGCCUCCUGCCCGCGCGCUGCAUCCGCUUGCUGCUGAGCCGCCGCCGCCUGCUGCACGACCAAGUCAGUGAGGGCCGCAAGCUGGCUCCUCAACUCACGACCUCGCCGGAUCCAGAAGUAGCGGAGGUCUCGGCCUCCUCAAAGUUUGCCGCGUUGUCCGCUCCAACAGACUUAGAGCGUGUCGUCGGCAUAAUCACUACAGCAUCAUAAAAGCGCAAGUAGUAAAACCCACGCUAUCGCAACCCCGCUCAACAAAAUGUACCCAAAUCAUGCGAAAGUAAGGAAGUGUUCUCUACUACUAACUCCCGAUGUUACGUUGUCGGCUGCGAACGUAACCCUCCGCGAAGUUAGAAGCUAAACACUCCAAUUAAAUUCUAACUAUUUAUAGUUAUUAUAAUACCCAAUCAUGAUACUUUCGCUCAUUAAUUAAAUAAACCUCGUCUCUCACGAGCCUAUUUCCUAUAGUCUAACCGGCCUAAGGUUUAUUAGGUCCACUAAGACUAAACCCUAGGCUCUGAUACCAAAUUAAUCUGUCACGCCCCGGGACCCGGCAUAGGCCCGCCCGGUGCAUGCCCAGACCCGCCAUAUGCCUGCACAUAUAAGGCGUCUACAAGAAUAGAGAUAUGAAAGCAAGAAGGAGUAAGACAACUAGAGAUAUCAGAGCAACCAGCAGCUAAAAUACUAAUAACAAGUAGAGAGAAAAGAAAACUAAUCCACUGAUAGUAAAACAUAAGGAAAAUACAACAUCUGUCUAAAAAUACAAAAUGGGUGGUCUCUAUACAUGGUACAACUCUCAACCUCUUCAAAAUAAAACCAAUGAGAGGAAAACCACCUAUCGAUACGUCCCUCGCAAAAGAGCUAGCUCGAGGCGAUGCCCUUUUCGCGAUCACUAGUGUCACGCCCCGAGCCCCAUCUAUUUGGUCAGGUUCGGGCACGCCGACAGACCGCCGAACGUACAAAGUGUAAUAUACCGAAAAUUCGAAAAAUUAAAAAAAAAUAUCGAACUUUAGUCAAAUUGACCAAAGUGUGAGGACAGUACACUUCGGAAAGUCCAAAGGUGUUAAAAUGAUUAAAAGUGCAUUGUGGAAGGUUUUCGAGAGCUAAAGAAUCAAAUUCUGCAAAACUGCAGAUUUUGAGCUCUCGGGGACCGGUCCCUGGCGGUGGUGCAAUCGGAACGGGCCCACCAUUUCUUAUCAGUUCAGUAUUAGGAACUCAUCGAGGUUGGUAGACGCGACGGAGUUCAAGUUGAGGAAGACUCACUUUUCUAUGAAAUUCGAGAACACUAGGCAUAUAUGAAGCGUAGCGAGCGGUAUCUCCAUUACCGCGGUAUCGAAGUUACGUUUCUGAUGCCGGCGGUUGAGGUUCAGUACUCAUCCCAUUAAGGAAAGUAUUAGGAAGUUAACCGCUUUACGUAUGCGCUAGUGAAAAGGCAGGACGUAGUUUUGUGUCGGGUUAGGUAAUUUGCUUCGUAGUGAUAUUUAGUGUAUGGGACGAGGUCGUCAGCCGUUCCAUUCCUAGCCCCGUUAGCAGUUAGCGACGAAGUUGAGAACUUUCGAGGAAAGUGUUCGUAAUAAGGUUUACUUGAAUCAAGGAAAUACGCACUCGGAGCACUCCCCUCAUCUAUUGAAACGUUUAGGGAGUUGUUUGGCAGCCAUCAUCGGCCGGUUUGGUUACUUCGAGGCUUAGAGCCAGUGUGAGCAGCCGGAGCCGGUUAGGAACUAUCGAAACCCAUUCCCGCUACACCAGCGACGGUCUACUGAUUCAGUGCUGAACUUGGUAACAACCUACACUACGCUACUCAAGCGGCGGUCUACCGAUUCAGUACUGAAAUCAGUAACAACCCAAGCUACGCUACUCAAGCGGCGGUAUACCAAUUCAAUCUCCACGUCAUCCGACACUGCCGUCGAUCCGACACCACGUCGGUCACGCGUCUGAUAAGCGCCUACUAACUGAGCUCCAACUCAGCCUACCAAUCGAACUAAUCCAAUUACCUUUGGAUAUUCGAUCACUAUCUUCGUUCUCGUUUCCAUUAUCUCUGGAAUCUUCGUUCACCGUGAACUCAACACUUGGAUUCUAUCAUCUUUGGAAUCUUAACUUACUGUACUCGAUUUCAAUCGUUUCAACUUGUAUUUUAGUUAUCUAGAUGAUCAACUAAUGUAUAUAAGUAUAACGUAUAACGCUCCGUACAAUGACGAUCAACGUAUUAAUGUAAUGCUAUAUAUAUAGACAUCUACAAACACCUGAUUGUACUAACGUCACGGAGGAACCUGGAUAGCUAGAACGAAAAGGGAAUCCACCGGCAUGGGUGACCCUUGGUACCUCAAGCAAGAGUGGGGUGCAACAAAACCCCACAAUGUCCAAGCGUGCACUCGCCGCGCCGCCGCGCUCCGUUCCGCAUCGAGGUAUCUAUCGCGGGAUGGGUUCUCUGGUCUCUGUCGCCAUGGGGCUCAGCCGUAUCAGAUCCCCAUAUCCUUUCCUUUUCUUUGUGUUACAUAGUUUAAACAUUAUAAUUAACAUUAUUGAAUUAACGUAAACCUUCAACUUACAUUACAUUUUACUUAGAUUACCCUUACGAACAUUAUUGUAUCCUACACAAUACAACAAACUAUGGAAGGAAUACAUUAGAACAUACUUAUGACAAGAACAAAACUUGGAGAACAUAACAUGAUUAACGCUGCGGAUCCUGCAUGUCCCCUCCGAAACACAGUGCGGGGCCCUGGCUAUGGUUAAACCGGGCUGGGCUCGUGCAGUUUGUCUGCGGCUUGCCUGUCUCAAAAGGGAUAGGCGGGUUCCGAGUAGUGUACAUGUAAAAGUAGUUAUCUCUUUUCAUGAUCGCCUUCGUAUGUGUUUGCCGAAUGCGUUCCCAUUCGUUAUCGGUAGUCACUUUCUUUCCUUUUGAUUUGUAAAUAUUCAUGAUACUAAGUAAAAACUAGUAUAUGUAACGUAAGUAGAACAAGUAAAAGUUUAAGGAAUGUAAAGUAAAGUAGUAAAGAAAGAAUGUAGUGUAAAUGGAGUUUUAUGUGUAAUGUAAGAAAAGAAAUGUAGUAAAUGGUAGUACAUGUUUUCUACUAGCAUCCCAUGAAAUGAUGUUUUACUUUGGGUUGAAACCACCGGAGACUGAUUCCGCGCUAUGGAAAUGGAGCCAGCGAGCGGCCGAGCGAGCCAGGGCCGAGACACCUUUAUCACCCCACUCUUGAUGUUGUUUCAAGGAUCACCCAAGCCGGAGUUGUAGUGGCUGAAAAGGUGAUCCUGAUUGAGUCCGUAUUAUCUUUCUUAUUCGACGUAUAUCAUUGGUUAGAUAUGUACUACGAUUAUACGGACUUGUUAUUUCGUUCCUCAUACGAGUUGUAAUUUAUUUACGUCUAAUACGUUUAAGAAACAAGAAAAGUAAAAUGAGAAACAAGAAACAAGAAACAAGAAACGUGAAACAAGAAACGAGAAACAAGAAAUUAGAGUUCCGAUUGGGCCCGCAUAGCGGUGUAAUUGAACGAAGUGUAAUUCAGGUAGUAGCGUCCUUGAGUGGGCGAUCCUGGCAGGAAGCCCAAAUGAGGUUGGGCACUACGUAUUGAGGCCUCGCGUAGCGGGCUCCCCCUCGCUGGCGGGAGCUCGUGCCUUGAGUAUCGUUCAUACUAGUAUAGGAAUUGAGUUUCCUAAAUAUUCAAGUUAGAACUGAAAUGUGAUCGAGAUCACAAGUAAUGUAAUGAAAUACAACGUUUGAGUACGUUAGUGUAGGAAAUGUAUAGAAAUGAAGACGAUCGAGAUCGUAAGAACAAGCAAUGUAAGGAGCAAGAAUAACGGGGUGAAAUGAAAUUGAAAUGUGUAACAGUAAAAGUAGUAAGAAAUGUAGUGAAAUCAAGAAACCGAGUGUGAUUAUCCAGUAAAACGAGUAUAGAAAAGUAGCCGAAAAGCAUUGCAAUUAAGCUCGUGUGGUUGCGCAGCCUUUAUGGGGGUUAAUCCAAAAAUCUCUCAGUUAACGUGAAUCUUUAAGGGUACUCGUUUUCGGGGUUAAACCACGGGAUUGAGGUUAUGUGUACAGUUUGAAUCCCAAACUAGAGUUUCUCUUCGUUUUCAUCGAAGUAAUACGAGAUCUCUCAAGUAGAUUUGGUAAGGAUCGAGUAAGGUUUGGGAUCAAACCUAAAGUGGUACUCUCCACCCAACUUCGAGUGGAACUCGAGUUGGUACUAAAACUAGAGAUUUCUUCAUUUUCUUUUCGAAGUUUCUGAGAUUUGUUAGGUAAUUUUGGUAAAGAUCCAAAUAAGUUUCGGAUAAAAUCCCAAAAUCAUACUAUCCCAAGUUUCGAAUGGAAUAUUCGAAAGAGAAAGAAGGUGAGAUCUCCUUCCUCUACUUCAACGAAGUGGAGAACUAGAAGAAGAAGUGGAAGAAAAGGAAGAAAAGGAAGGAAAGAAAGAAAGAAAAAGAAGAGGAAACAGAAGAUCUCUCUCUCCCUCUCUACUCUCACAAACUCUCCCACUCUUACUCUCUUAUAGAGUAAACGGGAGUAUUGUAUCGAGUAACCCAACGUAUUAACGUCGAUUUGGGGAGUUGAAAAUGAAAGAAUGUGACGGACCUGACCCGACAAGCGCGUCCGCCCCUGGCCAGAGAGGAAGUCCCUGGCCAAGGGCUUCCAGCAGGCUCGCGUCGGUCUCGACGACGCGCGUCACGUUGGCCAGAGAGGAAUCCACUGGCCAGAGAGCCCCUGGCCAGAGAGUCCUUCCCUGGCCAAGGGCUCUCGAUCAAAGAGUCCUGAAUCGGCUAAAAAGCCGACAGAGUGAAGUAUGCGCAAGCUCCUGGCCAGAGAGGGCNNNNNNNNNNNNNNNNNNNNNNNNNCGACCUUCGGGGAACCGUCCUGAAGGAGAGACGGCUUCCCCGCCUGCUGGCGAACUGCCCAGUUCCGGCAGUUGUAUUUAAAGUGAAACGUUGAGGGUUUAUUUGCAAUUAUGCAACCCAAUAGCUAUGUUAAUGCAGGGCUAAUGAAGAUUUUCUCUCAUUCACCCACUCAAAACACUCUUCUUCUCUUCCCCACUCUCUCCUAGAAAGGCAAAGGAGAAAGAUAAGAAAGAAAGAAAGGAAGGAAAAGAAGGAAAAGAAGGUGGAAGAAGAAAUCAAGGAGGUGAAGCAACUUCAUUUUCUUCCUCUCUAGUGCAAGAAAGGAAAGCCUUAUAAGUGACUUUGAACCCUUAUUGCUAGUAAAACCCACAAAGGGCUUUUUGGAAUAAACCUAGAAAUGGUUUAUGGCAUUGUUUAGAGUUUUUGACUUUCUUUUUGCUUUCUUUAGAGAUCAAAGUCAAUGGUUUACUUGAGGUGAGCGUUGGCCACCUUCUAAUGGUGAAAUACCAAUACUAGGGUUUGGAAUGAGCUAAUUGGGAGAAUGGUUUAGAUGAACUCUUUAGAGUAUAUUUGGAAGCUACUUUUGCUUUCCCAAUGAGACAAACCUAGAGUUUGAUUGUAUGUAUUCGAGCAUAUCGGCACCAAAAUUGGGGCUUUUGCUUAUGGGAAUUUUCUAAGUGCAAUUGACCUUCUAGAAACUAAUUGGAGGGAUAUUUCUCGACGCGUUGGGGCUGUGAUUAAUGUUACGAAAAGCCAACUGUAAUUAAGUUAUGGCCAAAUAGCCUAAUCUUGGCUCGUUUCUGCCGACCAGGUAAAGAACGAGGAAGUCUAAAAUCCCAAGAAAAUUCAUCGGACACCUUUGAAAGCCUACGUAGGUGGGUGGUGCCUUCUCAAACCUCGUUGAACUUCCCUCUAUGCCAAUGUCAUUCAAUUGACAUAUGUUACAUACUUAUGUUGCAUGCAUUUUAGGUAAGUGAUGAUAAAAUGUGAUGUUGCAUGAAUUGUGAUACAACUUUCAUAAUAUGAUGCAAUGAGAACUAUCUGAUGUGAAAAACCCAAUGUGUAUGCAUAGAGAGUAAAGUGAGCCCCCAAAGUUGAGCAAAAGAAACAGGCUGACAUUACAAUGACAUAGAUCAAUGGCAUUCGAAACGUAAAGUAAAGGACACUAAGUUAGUGUGAGUCUAAGAACCAAUGAAUGUAUGUAAAGAAAUGAUGAAAAUGACAAUAUGUAAUUUAAAGUAAGGAAGGGCAAUAAACGAGAAAUGAUAAGAACAAGAAUGCUAAAGAAAACAAAGUUAAAGAAAAGUAAACGAACAACGAUUAGCUGAGUGGCAACAUAAGUGAUGUAAUAAACACUAGAGAGUAGUGUAAAGUCAAUGAUUGAACUUAUAAAUCCUUUUGAGUUAAGGAUAUCGAUCAUACUUGCUUAUGAGUUCGUGCUCGAGGCAGGUCGCUCCUUCUGCGAUGGCGGCUCCGGAGUUAUGCAUACGGUUGGGAUAAACCAAGGAACGUCUAGCGGGCUGAGUUCCUUGCGAUGAUGGACUUAAUGUGAAGCAAGUUAAUUUGGGCGAAACCCCGGUUUAGCCUUGAGAUGUAAAGAAUAAAGAACAAGAGCAAGGAAAAGAACAAAGAUGCAAAGAGCAACAGGACAAAGAACAAAGUGUAAAGAUUAAAGAAAGAAGAUAUUGCAUAAUCUGCCAUCUUAUUUAUUGUGGUGCAUAACCCUUGGCCUUAUUUGUUCAGCAUAUUCAUCAUGAAAUAGAUGGUUAUAUAUUGCAGCUUAUUCUUUAUUAUUAUGCCUGAGUUAUAAGCUAGUGGGGAAAGUCCGUGAUGUUGAGCGAACCACUGGGAAUUUGUUUAGUUCUGCACCCCGCUAUUUCACGAAGCCCCGGGACGAAGCGAGCGCGCGAGCAGACCGAGGUAAAGGUAUCGCGCGCCUUGUCAGAGGCCACAAAAGUUGGUUUCAUUCUAUGUAGUAAAGUACUACGAUCAUCUUUGUACAUGAUGGUAAAUUGAUGUAAGAAGAAGAAAAGAAUGUAAUGUGUAUUUUGAGGUAAAUGUGAUGUAAGAAAGAAAUGAUGAAAUGAAAUGUAAGGAAUUUGAAAAUGAACAAGAUGAAUGCAAUGUAUAUGAUCAAAAAUGAAUCAUAGUACUUAUAAAUGUUUAGUUUUCCUUUCUUUCACUGAUGGCUAUUGCUUACCCUUGCGUAAGCCGUUUGUGUAUGCUUCCGCUAGUACUUUUCUCUAUUGAUGAAAAUGUACAUGUGAUGAGCCUUGGGCGGAUAGGGAAAACUCUGUCCGUUCGGCGUCUGUUUGACGUGCUCGGGUCGGGCCAAAUUGGUAUCGGUCCCGGGGCGUGACACAAAGCCUCCCCUGUACGUCCUAGGCGUCGCAAUUAGUACAAUACAAGAGGUUCAAAACAAGAACAGUAUUCAUACAAGAUUACAUAAGGAAGGUAUCAAACAACAUAACACAUCCUAUGUUAUUACAAGCAUUCCCAUUAGAUUCAUUUUACAUUACAUUCAACUUCCAAAUGCAAUUAAGUUAUUACAAUUAAUAUUACAAAUUUGAUACAUUGUGUUUCUUUUCCUUUCCUAUACCCCUAGACUAUGCCGACUCGGGGUACCGCUGUCUCUGGUCUCUUGGGUAGGGCGCUAUCUAUGGAGCUACGCCUUGCCUCGCGCCGCCGCGCCGCUCACGUGCGAACCUGUAACACCCCAAAACAACGUGGGGUGAGAACGAACUCCAUGGUUCCCAGUGGGUACGGCCACCUAAGGGAAAAGCAAGAUCGAUAGGUCCAAGGAGGCACUGCAAUCAUGUUAGUCCACAAACAUCUACAGAUAUAUAUAUCGUAAUGUAAUUAUGCAACUAGCAGUAACAUGCCUCGCAAUAUGCAAUAUGAAUAUAUGUAAUCAACUAGUAGAUCUAUUGAUUUUAUGUUCAACUUUGCUAACUUUAGCUCAUGUCAUUCAAUUCUAAGGUUUCUACUAUCUUAGGUUCACAACUCAAGUGCCACUUGCUUCUAAGGUCUCUAUUACCUUUGCUCUUGCUUCUAUCACUAGCUUAUAGGUUUCCAUUAACCUAAUCAAGCUAACCAUCCGACUCAACCUCGAGUCAAUCAUCCGCGAAUAGUCUGCGCACUGGCUGCACCACAGCCUAGCUGCCGUCACAGCCUACUGCACCUCUAACUUAACCAUAUGGCGGCGAACUCAUCGCAUCGAACCCAACAAUGACUAAAGUCAUGACUUAGCCAUCUGGCGGCGAACUCAUCGCAUCACAUCCAACAAUGGUUCAAGUCGUGACUUAGUCAUCUGGCAGCGACCACAUCGCCCUUACCCAAAGCUAUCAAGGAUUGGCCGAGGCCGACGAGUGUGACCGAGAUUCGGAGCUUCAUUGGUUUGGCCGGCUACUACCGACGGUUUGUUGAGGGAUUUGCAAAGUUAUCUACUCCCCUCACGAGGCUCACGCAUAAAGGAACUAAGUUCAUUUGGAAUAAUGCUUGUGAAAGGAGCUUUCAAGAGUUGAAGCAGCGAUUGACGAUUGCCCCGAUCCUUACCUUGCCGACUGCUGGAGCAGGGUAUGUGAUUUAUAGUNUUGUGCUUGUACCGGUACAAGGUUGAUGGUUGUAUCGGUACAGCCAUCGGAGCUUGUACCGGUACAGAGCCGCAGAGCCCAGCAACCCGAGCCUCGGGUUUGGAUUUCGUGGACCUUGUACCGGUACAAGGGUCCGUGUACCGGUACAAGGCGGCAGAUUUUGAGCAGUUCGAAACUGCAAGGGCUUUUUCGCGAUUGUAGCCUCUCUAUAACAGCACCCUCGCCCCUAGGGCUUUUCUUAUGCUGGAACCACAGGGAAACAAGGUGAGGAGCCCAUCCAUUCCCUCAUUUUGAUUUUCCUUGGUUAUAUUGGAGAUUUUUGAGGAUUAAUGCCUCAUUUUGCUUCUUGUUGCAUCUUGGAGGCUUUUUCCACCAUUGGAGAGGACUUGGAGCUUUGUUGGAGGCUUGUUGGAGGAAAGAUCUUCCACCCCAUUUGAUUUGGAGCCCAAGUUGAGACUUCUAGAGAGGUUAGCAACAUGAUUUGAGCUUUUGAUCCAUGUUUUGCUAAGUUUUUGAGAUGAAACCCUAGAUUUGAUACUUAGGGCUUAUUUUGGGUAUUUUGAAUCUAGGGCUUUUGGGGCUAAAUUAGUUGGUUUAGAACCUUCCUUGGGCUUGGAGUGGAAGGGUUCUAGCUCUCUUUUAGAGCUUUGGAAGAGAUUUCUUCUCUUGAGGUGAGAUUUGACCCCUUUUGCUUCUAGGUUAAUGUUUGAUAUUAUAAGAUGAUCGUAAUGCCCGUGUAUCUUGUCGCUCAAUACUUUUAGGGUAUUUUGAGACUCGGGGACAACUUUGUUUGGCGAAACGAGGCACUACGCGACGGUUCGGUGGGUUUGACCUAGCCUAUAUAUGAGAAAUUCUCAUAUAUGGUUAUAUAUGUUCCGUAAAUUGAAAAAGCAUGCAUGUUCAUACUAAAUGUAUUUAUUAUGAUUUUUAGAAUGCUUAAAAUGUAUAUGUUACAUAUGAUAAAAUUUUGGACCUCUAUGUAGUAGAGAGUUGCUUGGGAGAUCUAUGGUUGCAUUUAGCAUUCUUUAUGAGACUUGGUUCCAUGUUUCUAUAGUGUAAAUGAGUUCGGAUUCAUGCAUUUAAACUUAAGUUUACUUGUGACAUGAAAGAUGACAAAAUUGCCAUUUAGAAGGUGUGUGAACUAGAGAGCUAAUGUCAUCAAGCGGCAUUGAGCUCGGGACAUGUGUGAACCUAGUGGAUAGGGCCAUUGAGGGAUGUGGAACAUGCUUAAACAUUAAAUGUCUAAGUAUCAUAAAGGGGCACCAGACCUAGAGAAUGUUGGAACUUCAUUUGUGACUUAGAACUAGAUCUUCCAAAUGCUAGUGACUAUACCAUGUUAGAGACAUGAGGGUUGGAUACUUGAGACUUGGACUAUGCUUGCUUGCCAUUUGUGCUCAUUCGCACAUGCUUGUGAGGGUCGCUCCCUACAAGCCGGCACUCCAGAGUUAGCCUUCGCGACCUAUGUUCGCUCGUGCGAUAUUGAGAAGCCUACGGGGUCGAGUGGGACAGACACAUUCCAAGAGUAGGGAUGUUGGGCUACCACAGGCACUUAGGCGGCAUAAGCUGAACUACCUUUGGUAGGUCCUUGAUUGGAAAUGAAAAUCGACACGGUGUUGAAAAUGAAUAAUCGCUACUAAAUAGGCUUAGUAGUUGGAUUAGGUGACAUGCUCAUGACAUAGCAAUGAGGUCUAUAGUACACUUGCCGGUUUCAUGCAUUGCAUCAUAGUAUACUGGGUUAUCUUGAUAGAGCGUACUCCUUAUAUUUUGGCAUAUGGUAUUGUGAGGUUUACUUCUUCAUUUUGUUGAGGCAUAUUAGUAUGCAUUGGAUAUGUUACUUUAUGAUAGCGUAGAUGUACACCACCAUGACAUCAUGCUUAUUGGAGACAUAGUAGUAUAGCAUUUCAUUCAUGUUUUCUUUCAGCAGUUUUUGUGUUCGCUAUUUAUUGCAUAUUACUAUAUGUCGUUACUUACCCUUUUCUUCUGGGGCCUAGUGGUGCAUUGAGCUGAGGUCAGUAAUUGCCCACUGGAAACUAUAAAUUAUAGUUCUCACGCCCUCUUUUUCUCGAUGUUUUUCAGAGCCUUCCACGCAGGGUGAGGCCAGGAAUCGCGGGAAGGGAGUUGCUUCGAGCUAGCUUCCUUCGAGGAUGAGUUGCUAGGUGGUCUACCUCUCGAUGUUUACUUUUUGGCGAGAGGUUGAGGGUUGUACCAGUGUACUAGAGACCACCAUUUUUGUACUAGAGACAGAUAUUGUACUACUUAUGGUUUUUUUUAUUGUCUAGCUUUAUUUCUAUACUUUGGUGUAGAUGAUAGAACUUUACUCGCUCUGAUAUCAUUAGUUGCUAGUUAUUUCACUUCUUUUAUUUGUUCUAUCUCUUGUUUACUUCCGCUUUUGUUGUAGAUGCCUUAUAUGUGUAGACAUAUGGCGGGUCUGGGCACGCUACCGGGAGGGCCUUCGUCGGUCCCGGGGCGUGACACCUGUGGUAGCCCGACAUCCCUACUCUUGGAAUGUGUCUGUCCCACUCGACCCCGUAGGCUUCUCAAUAUCGCACCAGCGAACAUAGGUCGCGAAGGCUAACUCUGGAGUGCCGGCUUGUAGGAAGCGACCCUCACAAGCAUAUGCGAAUGAGCACAAAUGGCAAGCAAAUAUAGUCCAAGUCUCAAGUAUCCAACCCUCAUGUCUCUAACAUGGUAUAGUCACUAGCAUCUCGAAGAUCUAGGUCUAAGUCACAAAUGAAGUUCCAACAUUCUCUAGGUCUAGUGCCCCUUUAUGACACUUAGACAUUUAAUGUUUAAGCAUGUUCCACAUCCCUCAAUGGCCCUAUCCACUAGGUUCACACAUGUCCCGAGCUUAAUGCCGCUUGAUGACAUUAGCUCUCUAGUUCACACACCUUCUAGUUCAACAACUCUAAAUGGCAAUUUGGUCAUCUUUCAUGUCACAAGUAAACUUAAGUUUAAAUGCAUGAAUCCGAACUCAUUUACACUAUAGAAGUAUGAAACCAAGUCUCAUAAGGAAUGCUAAAUGCAACCAUAGAUUUCCCCAAGCAACUCUCUACUACAUAGAGGUCCAAAAUUUCAUCAUGUAUAACAUAUGCAUUUUAAGCAUUCUAAAAAUCAUAAUAAAUACAUUUAGUAUGAAUACGCAUGCUUUUCCAAUUUACGGAACAUAUAUAACCAUAUGUGAGAAUUUCUCAUAUUAUAGGCUAGGUCAAACCCACCGAACCGUCGCGUAGUGCCUCGUUUCGCCGAACAAAGUUAUACACGAGUCUCAAAUCACCCUAAAAGUAUUGAGCGAAGAGAUACACGGGCAUUACGAUCAUCUAUAAGAUCAAACAUUAACAAUUAUAGCACAAGGGCUAAAACUCACCUAAUGAGUGGGAAAUCUCUCCCAAGCUCCAAAAGAGAGCUAAAUCCCUUCCAAUCCAAUCUAGGAAAAGGUUCUAAUCCAAAAGAUUUAGCCCCAAAAGCCAUAGAAUCAAAAUGCCCAAAAUAAACCCUAAUUCACCAAUCUAGGGUUUCAUCUUGAAUCCAUCAACAAAAAUCAAAUUUAGAGGGAGAGAGCAAGUAGAUUACCUCUUAGAAGCUCCAAUCCAAGCUCUAAGCUCUCAAAGUCCAAGGAUCUCCCCUCAACAAAGCUCCAAAACAAAGCCCCAAAGGUGGAAAAGCCUCCAAUCAAGCAAAAGAAGCAAAAGAGAGGUUUAAUCUCUUAAAAUCCUACCAAAAUCCAAAUAGAUCAAAAGGAAAUCAAAGAGGGCUCUCUUACCUCUCCUCUUGCUGGUCCCAAGCUCAGGAAAAGACCCCUAGGACGUGGGGGUACUAAUAAAAAGUCCACAAUCGCAAAAAGCCCCCUGCAGUUCAAACUGCAUGAAAUCAGCCCCCUUGUACCGGUACACGGGCUCUUGUACCGGUACAAGGUCCACGAAAUCCAAACCCGAGGCUCGGGUUGCUGGGCUCUGCGGCUCUGUACCGGUACAAGCUCCGAUGGCUAUACCGGUACAACCAUCAACCUUGGUACAAGCACAACCUUGUACCGGUACAAGCCCGCCAGAACUCAAUCCGAGAGUGAGCCAAAUCCCGUUUUCUCGGGUUUUGGUGCAAGGCUUUGUACCACAAAUCUCGGGACACGUGCCAUAGGUCGGAACACAGUCAACGACCCACUAGAAAAUCUGGAAAAGAUCAGAACACGGCCAAUCACUCGAACCUCGCAAUUUGCAAAGGUCUAGUGUGUUACAAAAGUACUCUCUUUAUUUCACUUGUAUAUCUUGUGGAUUACUUGCUCUUCUUGUUGUUGGCACUGUUUGUGCCCUCGUUGAAUGUGUAUGUUUAGAAUUUAAAGUCCUGGGUAAAUUCUUGUACACAUUCCUGUCGUUGAGCCUUGGGCGGACAAGGGAGGUGCUGUCCGUUUGGCGGUCCGUCGCUGCGGCCGAAUCGUGCCAAAUUGGUAGUGGUUUCGAGGCGGGGCGUGACAAUGUCAUAUGCACUACAUGCAACAUGAUCUCAAUCAAAUGUAAGAAUGCUAACUAUAUGCAAGGUUCCAAAUAUGAACAGUUCUCUACUACAUAGAGGUCCAAUGUACUUUAUACAUAAUAUGCACAUAUUAAGCAUUCUAAAAUUCUCAAAUAUUCUAUCUAGUAAGAAUAUGCAUGCAUUUUUAUUUUACGAAAAGUAAAACCCAUUAUAGGGAUGAUUUAUCCCAUUUUGGUGAGGCCAAACCCACCGAGAGUUCCACUCGGCCUUCGUUUGCGCCGACGAAGGUGCCCACAAGCUUCCUAGCCCCCUAAAGGUUAAAGUAGGAGCGAUACACAAACGUUACGAACAACGAAUAGGUUAAACAUUAACCAACUCAACAUAAGGCUAAAAACUCACCGAAUGCGAAGGGUGCUCUUUCGAUCUCCAAACGGGAGUUAGAGCCCUUCCAAACCAACCUACACGAAGGUUCUAAACCCAUCAAUUGGGCUCCAAAAGCCCUAGAUCAAAAAUUCCCAAAUCAAACCCUAAAUCCUCAUUUCUAGGAUUUCUAAACAAAAAUAAAGUAAAAUAUGAAUCUAAUGAGAGAAACAUGUUACCAACCUUUAUAGAAGCUCCCAACUAGGCUAGAAGUCAACUAGGGUUGAAUAUCUCUCCUUCAACAAGCUCAACUCCAAGCCUCAAGCUUUCUCCCAUGGUGGAAAUAGCACCAAGUAGCAAAAAGGAGCAAAAAGAGAGGAUUAAACCUCGAAAAAUUCCAACAAAAAUAAAGAAAAUCAAAGAGGGAGAAUACAGAGCUCCCUUACCUUCCUCUCCACUGGUUCCAAGCUCAAGGAACACCAGGGGGCGUGGGGUACUAAUAUAGUGAAGUUACAAUCCCAAAAACAACCCUGCAGUUCAAGCAGUCUGCGGACUACACUGUGUACCGGUACACGUGGUUGCGUACCGGUACACACCCCACGAAAAUGCGAAACCCGAGCCUCGGGUUGGCUGAGAAGCUGCCUGUGUACCGGUAUACGGCCCCGCGUACCGGUACAACCAUUACCCCGUACCGGUAUAGCCAUCAACCAUGUACCGGUACACAGCCUGCUGAAGGCUACCCGAGAGCACACCAAUAAUCCAACUUUUUGGGUUUUGGUGCAAAGUUUUAAACCACAAAUCUCAGGAUACGAGCCAUAGGUCGGAACACUGUCGAUAACCCUCAAGAAUAUCUGAAAAAACUCAGAUUACACAUCAAACACUCGAACCUUGCAAUUUGUAAAAGCCCAGUGUGUUACACACAUGAUAUCAAGUUCAUUCGAACUCUAACACAUAUACUUAGAGUUCAUCCGACUAACUCUAAUACAUGCCCUUAGGGUCUGGUUAACCUUUUACUCUAGCACAUAUACCUGGAGUGGAAGUCAAACCAUGCUCAACUAGUCCUAACACAUACACUUAGGGCCUAGUCAGCCUUUUGCUCUAGCACAUCUAUCUAGAGUGAAAUCCAUAUCCGAUCGAGCUCUAAUACAUAUACUUAGAGCUUAUGUAAAUCAAAUCCGACGAAACCUAACAUAAUAACUCAAGGCUUAGUCAGAUCCUCACUCUAGCACAUAUAACUAGAGUGAAAAAUAUAUUAAACUCGGUUAAUCCUGAUAUAUACACUCAGGAAUUAGCCACUCUCUACUUUCGGGUAAUAUCAAAUCCAACCUACCUCAAUACAUAUACUUGGGGUUUGGUCACUCUAAGACAUAUACUUAGAGCCAAUUAGACUCUAAUACAUAGAGUUUAAUAUUGACUAGGUCUUAACACAUAUACUUAGGACCUAGUCAAUUUCAAAUUCAACUGAAUCCUAAUACAUAUACUUAGGAUUCAAUAAACCAAGAUACGAUUCAUUCAAUUCCAUCUAUAAAGGUCUCUUAAUCGAAGGUGCCCCAAUUUACAGGGGGUAAUUAACAAUAGAUGCUUGCAUCUAUUGGAAGCCAUGAAUCCGUAAUACCUGAUACCCACAUACAUAUAGAUACUCAUCUGAAUCAUGAAUACUACCCCACGGCCUAAAAUCCAUCGACCGUGCGAGGUGCGUCAUUCAUGGUGGCAGACAAAAUGGCACGCCCGGUGGGACAUGACUUCUCCUUCCAUCUUCGAGACCUUAAAAAAAAAAAAGAAAAAAAGAAAAAAAGAAAAGGUUGUGAAAAUUAUUCCUAACCUCUACAUUUUUCCACAAGGAAAUGGCACCAACAUCAAAGAACGUUGUCGCUGCAUCAACAAACUCAAUAAUACUGGAGGCGGGUUCGCGAGUCUGCUUGCCCACAUCCGUCCUGACAUUCGGAACUGCAGGUGCCUCAAUCCAAUUUGGCACCAUUCCGGAAGAUAUUCGAGCUGCUGUCAUGGAUCAAAUUCCUGCUGCUACUGGGGGCAUGACCACUCCCGUCGCCCCUUCACAGGAUGUAUCCAAUGUGGUCAUUCCUCAGCUGCCAUCUCGAGGAAGACGACCCAAUGUGGUCAUCCCCAACCCUCCUCGCCGACCAAUAGGCGAACGAUUUUCACUUACCAACCUGCAUCCAAGAGGAUGUAGUCUGAGGGAAGACUGAUAUUUCCAAAUGGCAGAGUGCAGAAAGCAUCAGUGUUCGAUAGGCUGGCACUUUCUAAUGAUACUACAACCGCCAUUCCAACAACGAGAGCGUCUUUUAAAAGGAAUAACCGCCGCCAACUCCAUAGAGGAAAGGUUGCUGGGGCCAAGGACAAUAACGUUCAAUAGCCCCAAAUAUCCAAUUGACCGCCAUGUCGUUAAACUGAACAAAUAUAGCCGACAAAAUAAGGCUAACAUGUGCAGUGAGGCCAUCCUCAUUAAACCAUAUAGUUGGAAGACACAUCACUUCUCAAUUAGUCUUAAAAAAAAAAGAAAAAGAAAAAAGGUGGAGGACAUGUUAUUUAAAAAAAAUUUUAGAUAAUAUGAGUAAAAUAUGAGCCACCAGCGGACUUGAUUGUCCAUAUCGGACUUCAAGGGUAAAAUUGUAAAAAGUCUAGACUGUGGUAUAACUCCACAGGCAAAAUUGGGAUCCCCGCUGUGAGAAAACCUUUCAAGGUUCACAGGCAAAAGUUAGGGGAAGGUACAUGGUGAAAACCCAUUAGGGCGCCAAAAUAUCCAAAAUGUAUGUUGCCUAUGAUGGAAUGCUAACUCACCUUAGGGUCGGUUACACGCAGCAAUUUUGAUUGCUUCUUGAGUCAAAAUAAAUAAAAAAAAAAUUCAUGUUCCUUAUUACCCAAAAUAUAUUUUAUCUAUGACGGAAUGCUAACUUACCUUAGGGUUGGUUAUGUGCAGCAAUUUCGAUUGCUUCUCGAGACAAAAUAAAUAAAAAUAAUCCAAGUUCCCUAUUACCCAAAAUAUAUUUUGCCUAUGACGGAAUGCUAACUCACCUUAGGGUCGGUUAUACAUGGCAAUUUCGAUUGCUUCUCGAGGCAAAAUAAAUAAAAAAUAUGUAUUUCCUUGUACAAAAAAAAUAGAAAAAGAAGUGGAGGACAUAUUGUCUAAAUUUUUUAGAUAAUAUGGGUAAAAUAUGAGCCACCAGCAGACUUGAUUGUCCAUAUCGGAUUUCAAGGGUAAAAUUACAAAAAGUCCCGGCUGUGGUAUAACUCCACAGGUAAAAUUGGGAUCCCCACUAUUACAAAACCUUUCAAGGCUCACAGACAAAAGUUAGGAGAAGAUACCUGGUGAAAACCCAUUCGAGUGCCAGAAUACCCAAAAUGUAUGUUGCCUAUGACGGAAUGCUAACUCACCUUAGGGUCGGUUACGCGCAGCAAUUUCGAUUGCUUCUCGAGGCAAAAUAAAAAAAAAAAUCCAUAUUUCCUAUUACCCAAAAUAUAUUUUACCUAUGACGGAGAGCUAACUUACCUUAGGGUCGGUUAUGCGUAGCAAUUUCGAUUGCUUCUUAAAGACAAAAUAAAUCCAUAUCCAAUUGACUGCCACGUCGUUAAACUGAGCAUCCCAUGUCCAAUCGACCGCCAUGUCAUUAAACUGAGCAUCCCAUAUCCAAUCGACCGCUAUGUCGAUAAACUGAGCAGCCCAUAUCCAAUCGACCGCCUUGUCGUUAAACUGAGCAGCCCAUCUCCAAUCGACCGCCAUGUCGUUUAAACUGAGCAUCCCAUAUCCAAGCCAUGUCGUUAAACUGAGGAUCCCAUAUCCAAUCAACCGCCAUGUCACUAAACUGAGCACUUUUAAAUUGACCGCCAUGUCACUAAACUGAGCACAUUCAUAUUGACCGCUAUAUCAUUAAACUGAGUAUUGUUAUAUCGACCGCCUUGUCGUUAAACUGAGCAACAUAUAUCCAAUUGACUGCCACGUCGUUAAACUGAGCAAUCCAUAUUUAAUAGACCGCCAUAUCACUAAACUGAGCACUUUUAUAUCGACCGCCAUGUCACUAAACUGAGUAAUUUUAUAUUGACCGCCACGUCGUUAAACUGAGCAAUCUACAUCCAAUCGACCGCCAUGUCAUUAAACUGAGCAAUUAAAUGCAUAUGGUGCGUGGAUGAUCUAAAAAAAAAAUAAAAAAAUAAAAAAAAAAGUAUGGUCAAAGUAGGGACUGAAAAAAAAAGGGGGUCAAAGUAAGGACUGGAAAAAAAAAGAGUUCCGUAUAGGAAGCUUCAAAAAAAAAAAAAAAAGAGAAGUUUCGUACGGAACCUAAAAAAAAAAGUUUCGUAUAGGAAGCUUCAAAAAAAAAAAGAGAGAAGUUCAGUACAUGACCAUAAAAUAAAAAUAAUAAUAAAAUAAAAAGGAGUCCGUAUAGGACCAAAAAAAAAAAAAAAGAUUACCAUACAGGAACUUCAAAAAAAAAAAAAAAAAAAACCGGUCAAAAAAAAAGUUCCGUACAGGAACUCAAAAAAAAAAAAAAGAAAAAGAAAAAAAAAAAAGAGAAAGAGAGAAGAGUUCGUAAUGGCAGAAAAAAAAAAAAAAUCUUUAACAAAGAAAAGAGGUCUUCUUCGUGACGCACAGAACUCUUAUCGUCAAAAGGUGGGGGAAUUUGUUUGCGUAAAAUACUACUUAUAUAGGAUGAAACAAUCCUAAUCAGAAUAAAAAACGAUUAGAUUCGAGUUCAUACAAUCCUAAUAGGUCUCGUGUUAACCAUUAAAUUUUUGGGCCAAUAAUUAUAGUAAGCCCAUUCAUAAAUGUGAGUUCGUGGGCCUCAUGAAAGCCCAUGCAAAAAAAAGGGGGGGGGGCGGCCUUAUUCCAGCCCAUUAAAUAUUAUCAUUUGGGCCCAAUAAAUUAAAGCGGGUCUGAUCAACGACAGCCCACAUCCACAUCCUAUAAAAUAUCCGUUCGAAAUUCGAUUUCAAAUCACAACCCAUUCAAAAUUUAAUUUCGAAUUUCGAGUUCUCAACCAAUUCCCAAAACAUCCUCCAACAACCCAUUCAAAAUUCUAUUUCGAAUUUCGAAUCCAUAACCAAUUCCCAAAAUAUCAUCCAACAACCCAUUCGAAAUUCGAUUUCGAAUUUCGAAUUCCAAACCAAUUCCCAAAAUAUCAUCCAACAACCCAUUCGAAAUUCGAUUUCGAAUUUCGAAUUCCCAACCAAUUUCCAAAACAUCCUCCCACAAUCCAUUCAAAAUUCGAUUUCGCCUUUCGAAUUCCCAACCAAUUCCCAAAAUAUCCUCCAACAAUCCAUUCAAAAUUCGAUUUCGAAUUUCGAAUCCCUAACCAAUUCCCAAAAUAUCCUCCAACAACCCAUUCAAAAUUCGAUUUCGAAUUUCGAAUUCUCAACCAAUUCCCAAAAUAUCCUCCAACAACUCAUUCAAAAUUCGAUUUCGAAUUUCGAAUUUCCAACCAACUCCCAAAAUAUCCUCCAAAAAAAUAUUUAAAAUUCGAUUUCGAAUUUCGAAUUUCCAACCAACUCUCAAAAUAUCUUCCACAAAUCAUUCAAAAUUUGAUUUCGAAUUUCAAAUCAAUCCUCAAAAUACCCUCCAACCAUCCAAGUUACCCAUUCAAAAUUCGAUUUCGAAUUUUGAAUUUCCAAUCAAUCCUAAAUAUCUUUCAACCAACCACAACAACCUAUUCAAAAUUCAAUUUUGAAUUUCGAAUCCCUGAAAAUAUCUCUCACCACCUCUCCCAUUAUAAAUACGAGAAUCGAGAUCAAUACGGAGGACGAUACGAUUUUAUGGAGAGAAAAAAAAAAGAUAGAUUGCUACACACGUUCUGACGUACAAAAAAAUUCUAAGAAUGAGAGAUCGCCGAGCCGUGGAAAGGAUGAGAGAUCGCCGAGCCGCGUAAAGGAGGAGAGAUCGCCGAGCCGCGGAGAGGAGAGAUCGCCCAGCCGCGAAGAGGAGAUGAGAGAUCGCCAAGCUGCGGAAAGGAGAAGAGAUCGCCAAGCCGCUUCAUCCAAUCUGCCAUCUGCUCAACAGGUAAAGAAAAAAAAAAGAAAAAAGAAAGAAAGAAAGAAAGAAAGAAAGAAAGAAAGAAAACAGAGAAAACAAAAUCAAGCGUAUCAAAAAAUAAUAAUAAUAUAUAUAUAAAAAAAGAUCUCUUUACUUCCUCCCUUCUUUUUUUUUCUUUCUUUGGUCCUGCUAACGUAGUCAUCCUUACCGUCUAGAUGGCUUCGAUGGGAGAGUGGAGGGGAGCAAAUGGCUUCCCGUUUCUUCGGACCUCUCAAUACCCCAUUCGAAGUCGUUGAUGAUGGAAUGGGUGAUCUACAUUGCCGCGACCACCCCAACACCGACGGUUUGAUACUUCGAAAAAAGAGGAGAGGGGAAUCUUUGAUUCCCCGUUUCUUCGGACCCAUCAACAUUUCUUCGAAAAUGUCAGAUCAAAUCCGAUGGCCGAACAGAUCCACGCCAUCGUCAUCAACUUCGUCGACAUCAUCUACAACACCGACGGUUUGAUUCUUUCGAAAGAAGAGGGAAGGGGAAUCUUUGAUUCCCCGUUUCUUCGGACCCUUCAACAUUUCUUCGAAAAUGUCAAAUCAAAUCCGAUGGCCGAACAGAUCCACCCUACCGUCAUCAACUUCGUCGACGUCAUCUGCAGCAUCGUAAGAAGAGAGGAGGGGAAUCUUUGAUUCUCCGUUUCUUCGAACCCCAAAUCAAAAUUAAAAUGGGGAUUUCUUCGGACCCCAAAUUGGAACCAAAACGGGGAUUUCUUCGGACCCCAAAUCCAAAUCGAAAUCAAACGGGGAUUUCUUCCGACCCCAAAUCAAAUCCAAAUUGGAGGAUCAAAUGGGGAUUUCUUCGGACCCCAAAUCAAAGUUAAAACGGGGAUUUCUUCGGACCCCAAAUUGGAACCAAAAUGGAAAUUUCUUCGGACCCCAAAUCCAAAUCGAAAUCAAACAGGAAUUUCUUCGGACCCCAAAUCAAAUCCAAAUUUGAGGAUCAAACGGAGAUUUCUUCGAACCCCAAAUCAAAAUUAAAACGGGGAUUUCUUCGAACCCCAAAUUGGAACCAAAACGGGGAUUUCUUCGGACCCCAAAUCCAAAUCGAAAUCAAACGGGAAUUUCUUCGGACCCCAAAUCAAAUCCAAAUUUGAGAAUCAAACGGGGAUUUCUUCGGACCCCAAAUCAAAAUUAAAACGGGGAUUUCUUCGAACCCUAAAUCAAAUUGGAAAAUUAAAUCCAAAUUGGAGAAUCAAACGGGGAUUUCUUCAGACCCCAAAUCAAAUUGGAAAAUCAAAUCCAAAUUGGAACCAAAACGGAAAUUUCUUCAGACACCAAAUCAAAUCCAAUUGGAGAAUCAAACGGGGCUUUCUUCGGACCCCAAAUCAAAUUGGAAAAUCAAAUCCAAAUCCAAAUCAAACGGAGAUUUCUUUGGACCCCAAAUCCAAAUCGAGAUCAAAAGGAGAUUUUUUCGGACCCCAAAUCAAACCAAAAUCAAAAAGGGAUUUCUUUAGAUCCGUAUCAAGUUGCAAAUCAAGUUCACAUAAGAACCCAAACCAAACCAAAAUCCAAAUAAAAUCCAAACCAAACCAAAUCAAAUCCAAACCCAAAACGAAACCAAAUCCAAAUCCAGUCCACAUAAAAAUCCAAACCCAAAGUCCAAAUAAAAAACCCAAAACCAAAUACAGGCCACAAAUAAACCCAAACCCAAACCCAAACCAAAUACAGUCCACAAAUAAACACAAACCCAAAACCCAAAUCAAAUCCAAACCCAAACCCAAAUCAAGUGUAACACACUGGACCUUUGCAAAUUGCGAGGUUCGAGUGAUUGGAUGUGUUCUGAGUUUUUUCAGACUUUCUGGUGGGUAGUAGACAGUGUUCCGACCUAUGGUUCGAACCCCAAGGAUUGAGGUCUGAAGCCUAGCACCAAAACUCGAAAAAUCAGAUUUUUGGUUAGCUCUCGGGUAGCCUUCAUUGGGCUGUGUACCGGUAUAGGGUUGAUGGCUGUACCGGUACAGGGUUGAUGGUUGUACCGGUACGGGGUUGUGUACCGGUACACAGGCAGCUUUCCAGCCAACCCGAGGUUCGGGUUUGGCAUUUUCGUGGGAUGUGUACCGGUACGUGGGCCCGUGUAUCGGUACGCAGUGACAGAUUUUGAAUGAUCAAAACUGCAGGGGUGUUUUUGCAUUGUGGCUUCCCUAUAAUAGCACCCACGCCCCUAGGGCUGCUCUUUGAGCUUGCCACAGCAGAAAGAAGGUAAGGGGAGCUCCUUCGUGCUUCUCCUUGGUUUUGAUCUUUUUUUUUAGCUUGGAUUAAAGGUUUAAUCUCUCUCUUUUUCCCUUUUGGUGCAAUUCCACCAUGAUUGAAGCUUGGAGCUUGGAUUUGGAGCUUUGUUGAGGGGAGAUCUUUGGACUUGGAGAGUUUAGAGCUUGAUUGAAGCUUCUAAGAGGUAAUCUACUUGUUCUCUCUCUCUAGAUUUGAGUUUUGUUGUUGGAUUUGAGUUGAAACCCUACAAUGGAGACUUAGGGGUUUUUUGGGGCAUUUUGGAUUUAGGGCUUUUGGAGCUUGAUUGUUUGGAUUAGAACCCUCCUUUGGGUUGGAUUGGAAGGAUUCUAGCCUUCUUCGGAGCUUGUGAGAGUUUUCUCCACCUUAGGUGAGAUUUUAGCCCUUUUGCCUUGAUGGUUAAUAUUUGAUCUCAUAGUUGAUCGUAAUGCCCGUGUAUCUCUUCGCUCAUUACUUUUAGGGUUUUGAGACUCGUGGACUACUCCGUUCGGCGAAACGAGGGACUACGUGACGGUUCGGUGGGUUUGACCUAGCCACACAAUGAGAAAAUCUCAUUUGUGAUGAUUUGAGUAUCGUUAAAUGAUAAAGCAUGCAUAAUCAUGUUAGAUAUAUUUAUUAUGAAUUUUAGAAUGCUUAACAUGCCUAUGUAAUGUAUAGUAAAUUUUUGGACCUCUAUGUGGUAGAGUGUAUGCAUGUGAGAUAUAGCAUUCUAGUUGAGACUUGGAACCAUGAUUCCUAUUAUGAAAAUGAACAUUGUUUUCAUGCAUUUAACCUUUAUGCUCAUUUGUGACAUUAGGGACUUUGGAAGCCUAGAGAGGCUUGGGACUUAGACUAUUUGAGAAAUUGGACCAAUGUCAUAAAGAGGUAUUGGGCCCGGGCUAUAGUAAACAUUGGUAUUAAUGUCUUAAAUGGGAACAUAGAACAUGAUUUGGGCUUGAUUAGUUGUGGUGCUUAAGUGUCAUAAAGAGGCACUAAGCAAGUGAGUGUUGAGAUAUCACAUUGUGACAUAGAGCUAGACCGUUGGGUUACUAGUAGCUAUUGCCGUGUUUGAGACAUGAGGGUUAGAUACUUGAGCCUUUGACUACGCUUGCUUGCCAUUUGUGCUCAUUCGCACAUGCUUGUGAGGGUCGCUUCCUACAAGUCGGCACUCCGGAGUUAGCCUACGCGACCUAUGUUCGCGCGUGCAGUAUUGAGAAGCCUACGGGGUCGAGUGGGACGGACACAUUCCAAGAGCAAGAAUGUUGGGCUACCACAGGCACUUAGGCGGCACAAGUUAGACUACCUUGGGUAGGUCCUUAAUUGGAAAUGGAAAUCAACACGGUGUUGAGUGUGUUAUAAUCACUACUAGAUAGAGAGUAGUAGUUGGAUUACUUGGACUUGCUCCUAGCAUAGUGUUGGGCACUUGAGUAUACAUAUGUACAUGUAGCAUGCUAGGAGAUGUUGCUUAUUGCAUUCAUGUAAACAUUGUUUACCAUAGUAGAGCAUGAUCUGCAUAAUUUCAUAAAACAAACCAUGAUUGUUACUCGUGGUCAUGUAGGGACAUAUUUGUUCAUUAUGAUAUAAAGGUGCAUCUUAAUUGACACAAUAUAGUAUCUUAGCAUUUUAAUUAUGCUUUCUUAAAUGCAAAUUAUUCAUUAUUAUUGCUCUCUUUUUGACUUACCCUUUCUGUGGGGCUUAGUGGUGCAUUGAGCUGAGGUCAGUAAUUGCCCAUUGGGAACUAUAAAUUAUAGUUCUUACGCCCUCUGUUUUAUGUUUUCUUUCAGAGCCUUCCACGCCGAGACAGGCUAGGGACUGUGGGAAGGGCGUUGCUUCGAGCUAGCUCUUCAGCGAGAGACGAGUUGAUAAGUGGUCUACCUCUCGAUGUUUUUAUUUUGGAGAGGUUGAGAGCUGUACCAGUGUACUAGAGACCACCCUUUUGUGUACCAUUUUGGACAGAUAUCGUAUAACUAUAUGUUUCACUUUUAUUGCUUUAGUAUUUUUUUCCUUUUACCUUGUUGUAGAUGAUAGCUCUAUUUGUGCUCUGAUAUCUCUAGAUGUUAUUUAUCUUUGGUUUAUUUUUCGCUGUUAAUGUAGACGCCUUAUAUAUGCUGACAUAUGGCGGGUCUGGGCAUGCUACCGGGAGGGCCUCUGCCGGUCCCGGGGCGUGACAUCAAGUCCACAUCCAAACCUAACCCAAACCAAGUCCACAUAAAGAACCCAAACCCAUUCCACAAAUAAAAUCCAAACCAACCCAAACCAAGUCUAUAAAUAAACCCAAAAUUCAAACCGAAACCCGAACCCAAAACCAAAAUCCAAACCCAAUCCAAAUCAAGUCCACAAUCAAAAUCCAAAUCCAAAACCCAAAUCCAACUUCCAACUUAGGCUCAUGAACCUAAACCAUACCUAAGUUCGUGAACCAAAUCCCAAAUCCUAUACCCAAGUUCAUGAAUCAAGUCUCACGGACCAUACAACCAUACACCAAGUUCAUGAACCAUGAACCAUAAGCCAAGUUCAGAAACCUCAUCCAUGAACCAUAUCCAAGUUCAUGAACCAAAUCCCAUACACCAAACCUCAUAAACUAAACUUAUAAACCAUACACCAAGUUCAUGAACCAUGAAUCAUGAAUCAUGAUCCAAGUUCAUAAACCAAACCAAACCAAAUCUCAUGAACCAAAUCCCAUGAACCAUAUACGAAACCUCAUGGACCAUGAACCAAACCAUACCUAUGUUCAUGAACCAAGUCUCAUGAACCAAAUUUCAUGGACCAUACACCAAACCUUAUAAACAAUAACCAAAGUUCAUAAACCAAAUCCCAUCCCAUAGACUAUAUACCAAGCCUCAUGAACCAUACACCACAUCCCAUCCUAUGAACCAUACACCACAUCCUAUCCUAUGAGCCAUACACCAAACCAUACCCAAAUCUCAUGGACCAUAUCCAUGAACCAAACCUCAUGAGCCAAUAUCCAAAUCUCAUGAACUAUAUCCAUGAACCAAAUCUCAUGAGCCAAUACUCAAAUCUCAUGAACCAUAUCGCCUACCCCUAAUACAUAGGGCUAAGUCAAUCGCCUUAGUACAUAUAACUAAGGCAAAAUAUCUCCAAAAUCGACAGAGUUCUAAACUAUAUACUUAGAAUUCAAUCACAUGAUAUCAAGUUCAUUCGAAUUCUAACACAUAUACUUAGAGUUCAUCCGACUAACCCUAAUACAUACCCUUAGGGUCUGGUCAACCUUUUACUCUAGCACAUAUACCUGGAGUGGAAGUCAAACCAAGCUCAACUAGUCUUAACACAUAGACUUAGGGCCUAGUCAGCCUUUUGCUCUAGCACAUCUAUCUAGAGUGAAAUCCAUACCCGAUCGAGCUCUAAUACAUAUACUUAGAGCUUAUGCAAAUCAAAUCCGACGAAACCUAACAUAAUACCUCGGGGCUUAGUCAGAUCCUCACUCUAUAUAACUAGAGUGAAAAAUAUAUUAAACUUGGUUAAUCUUGAUAUAUACACUCAGGAAUUAGCCACUCUCUACUUUUGGAUAAUAUCAAAUCCGACCUACCUCAAUACAUAUACUUGGGGUUUGGUCACUCUAAGACAUAUACUUAGAGCCAAUUAGACUCUAAUACAUAGAAUUUAAUAUCGACUAGGUCUUAACACAUAUACUUAGGACCUAGUCAAUUUCAAAUUCAACUGAAUCCUAAUACAUAUACUUAGGAUUCAAUAAACCAAGAUAUGAUUCAUUCAAUCCCAUCUAUAAAGGUCUCUUAAUUGAAGGUGCCCCAAUCUACAGGGGGUAAUUAACAAUAGAUGCUUGCAUCUAUUGGAAGCCAUAGAUCCGCAAUACCUGAUACCCACAUACAUAUAGAUACUCAUCUGAAUCAUGAAUACUACCCCACGGCCUAAAAUCCAUCGACCGUGCGGGGUGCGUCAUUCGUGGUGGCAGACACUGCCGUCACAGCCUACCGCACCUUUGACUUAACCAUCUAGUGGCGAACUCAUCGCAUCGAACCCAACAACGACUCAAGUCAUGACUUAGCCAUCUGGUGACGAACUCAUCGCAUCAUACCCAACAAUGGUUCAAGUCGUGACUUAGUCAUCUGGCAACGACCACAUCGCCCUUACCCAGCAAUGGUUCAAGUCAAUCUAGGCGGCAUCCAAUAAGCUAAAUGGGCGAGGAGAACCACACAUACCCAAUUCGAGCUUAUUCUCAUGGCAUCCCGGGUGAGGACAACAACACAUACCCGUUGAAUCACUGCCAGGCGAGGAGAACCACACAUACCUUCAGUUAUGAUUCUAUUUGCCAUCUCUUUUACCACAAGUUCCCACCGCUUCUUUUGCGGCCACCUCACUAGGAAUUCCAGAAUCCACUUCACAUAACUCAAGGGUUAGCCUCAAACCCUAUAGUAUUGACCUAUCUAGGUCCAAUGUCCUUGUCACCCUUGGUCCAACUGACUCUAGGCUUAAUACCUCUAUCACAUAACUUAGGUUUACUUUAACUCUAGGCUCAAUUCUCAACCUAUGUUCUCGACACUAGGUUAAUGCCACACACCUAGAUUUAAUUAACUCUAGGUUCAUUCUCAACCUAUGUUCUUUAACACUAGGUUAGAUGCCACUCGACCUAUAUUUAAUAACACUAGGUUCAUUGUCAUUCAUGUUCAACCUAUGUUUAAUACACUAGGUUAAGUGCCACUCGAUCUAUUCGACAUCCUAAUUGUCCACAUCGAGUUCAAUAGAUAUCCACAUUUUAUCUAGCAUGCAUUAUAUAAUGCCAAUAUGCAUAUUCUUUCUAACAUGAUCUCAUAGCUCCAAAAUGCUCCUAGUAUUUAUUCUUCUACUUGUUGUAAAAUAUUUUUAAAUUCAUUUCUAAGCUAAAUGGAAUUUAUAUGAAUUUUAGAGCACUUAAAAUGCAUGCCUUGUGUAUUAUGAAAAUUUUCCUAUAUAGUAGAGCGAAAUGAGUAGAAUGCAUGCAUACGGGAGAAGUGUUUAUUUUGCAAGCGGAAAUUACACCUCUUAUGAGGGUUAUGACUUGGAAUAUGUACUUGGGAACAUAGUUGCCAUGCUCGGGCAUAGAGAACAAGAGUGUCAUCAGGGGGCACUUGAAACUAGUAAACUAUGAAACUGCAAUAUAGAGAUAUAUUGAUAGGCCACUACAUAUCUGCUAUAUUCCAUGUUAGAGACAUGAUGACAUAGGGAUAGGCCAUUGGGAUACUUGACACAUUCCAUGUUAUUUGACAUGAGGACUUGGUACUUGCGACAGAUCGUUUGACUACUUGCCAUUGUGCUCAUUCGCAAAUGCUUGUGAGGGUCGCUCCCUACAAGCCGGCACUCCGGAGAUAGCCAUCGCGAUUCAUAUUCGCCGUGCGGGAUUGGGCGCCGAAGUGGAUUGCCGCGGGACAGGCUCAUUCCUAGGGUGGGGAUGAUGACUACCACGGGGCCAUUAGGCUCGGCACCGGCUAGACAGCUUACGGGUGGGUCUCAGGGCCGUAGACAGCCUUCGGGUGGGUCUCUUCAGAUUUGACUUUGAGUAUUCAUUAUGACAUGGGGACAGAUGAUGACUUAGUGUACUACUUGGACAUUAACUAGAAUAGUAAACAACGGAACUUUACUAUUUCGCAUUGUGAACAUUAUGAUAGUUGGAGACUUUUACUUCAUGCAUAGUUGCUUUAUACUUAUGCUAAUUAUGCUAAGAAGAGAUAUCAUGUUGUAGUAAGUUAUAUUUUUAUUUACCUUUCGCUUUUCUACCUUUAUAGUCACUGACAUCUUUUGUAACUUUGGGCCUUGUGGUGCAUUCACUGAAGUCAGUAAUUGCCCACUGGGAACUAUUUUAAUAGUUCUCACGCCCCUGUUUUAUGGUUUACUUUUCAGAGCCUUCGGCACCGGCGGAGGCACGGGUCGCGGCAAGGGGAUCGCUUAGCUAGCUAGCGAGGAGCGGUACUUUGCCUAGGUGGUUUACUCUUUCUUUUUUGUAGUUGAGAGAGUGAGAGGUUUUUGUAUCCAUGUAUAGAGACCACCUAUGUAUCUACCUAUAGCACUUGUAUCCGGAAUUUUCUUGUAUCACUUUAUGUCUUAUUUAGUGGAUUUACAGUUUUAUCCUUAUCUUUUGUUGUAGCAUUUAGACAUUUAUUAUGCUCUAAUACUCCUAGAUGUCUUUUACUAUUACUUUUAUUAUUGUUGUUUUUAGACGCCUUAUAUGUUUUAGACGUAUGGCGGGUCUGGGCACGUGUCGGGCGGGCUCUCGUUGGGUCCCGGGGCGUGACACAUUCACAGUUUAUUUAGGUUGUUAUUAAAUAAUACGGGCUACGCCUUCACCUUUAAAUACAUACCGAUUAGUUAUUUCAUAACCUGUAAUGCAAAGGUUACUUUUCGUCGUAUAUGCUAAGCCUUGUUGGUAGACGCUUGUAAACCCUUACUGUCGGCAGUUAUUUGCAUAACUAGACUCUGUCCGUUACCUGGGCAUGUAGAGCACUAACUUGUAAUGCAAAUACCACUUUAAUAAUGUUUAACUAUAGUUAAAAACACAUACCAUAUGCCCCGGGGCGUGACAGAUUAAUACCAUCUUAAUCUGUCACGCCUCGAGGCUGAUUUUAAAAGCCAUUACCAUUUUGAAAACUCAGAGUCGCGGAAGAUGCGAUAUUUUAUGUAUCGUUUCGCGUGAAAUCGCACGUAGAGGGGUAUUCACACGUUUUACUCACGCUGGGGAGGAUUCAGUUUGAAAUACUGAAGUUUGAUGGGCUUUUCCGCAAUUUGCACCUUAUAUAUAUAUUGCUUUUUAGGGUUUUCUUGGGAUCCAAAACCCUAGUUGAGCCCCCUGCUACCCUAGUCGGACCCUACCAUCUUCACCUUGCUCUUCUUCCCUAACCGCACACCUCCGGCCGCCGCCGAUUGAGCCCCAGCCGCCGCCGAACCACCUUCUUCUUCUUCUCCUCCAUAUCUCUCUUCCUCCCUCUUCUUCUCAGGUUCAGGACAGGGUCCGAGGUUGCAGUUCAUCUUGCCCCUCUCCAGCACCACCACGGAGCUCCGGCGACCUCCCCCGGCCGACUGCUGCCACCCAGAGCGCCGCCGCGUCGCGCUGAUGCUGCCUGGGGCAGCUAGAUUGAGCCCAGGUCGGGUUCAGCUCACGGCCUCCCCGCGCGUCGCCGCCGCCUGAGCCCGCUCCGGCUGCCGUUCCAGUGCCCUCGGUAUCCCUCCCCGACGGUCGCCGCCGCCCCUAUGAGCCGUCGCCCCCGUCUCGACCAAGUUGCAGCCGCCCCAGACUUGUGUCGGCCGAGGCAAGCCGCGUCCCCUCUCCCCUCGCCGCCGCCACUCAGGGCCGCCUCUCUCCUCCUCCUUCGGCCCCGGGGCGUGACAGAUUAAGAUAUAUGAGAUAUAAUAGGGCUAAACUCUUAACCCGGCUUAAGCAUUUUGGUUAGUGGUAAGGCUCAAGAGGUUAAGAGAGUUAAGCGUGCUAGAUGGGAGUAGUCCUAGGAUGGGUGACCCCCUGGGAAGUUGGGGCGUCACAUAUGGUAUUAGAGCCAAUUACCAGCCGGAAGUGUGAUAUGAGUCUCGGCUGAGCCAAGGUCUGGAUGACGGGCUAGCGAGACGAGUCUCACAUCGCCUGGUACUUGUGAGUCUGAGCCUGACGAGGACGUUAGGGCUUAAAGGAGGGGAGAUUGUGAGACCCCAGAUAGUCCUAUAUAUGAGAUAUAAUAGGGCUAAACUCUUAACCCGGCUUAAGCAUUUUAGUUAGUGGCAAGGCUCAAGAGGUUAAGAGAGUUAAGCGUGCUAGAUGGGAGUAGUCCUAGGAUGGGUGACCCCCUGGGAAGUUGGGGCGUCACAAUAUGACGGGUCUGUGCAUGAGCUGGGUAUACUUUCGCUGGUACCCGGGCGUGACAUAAGGACUACAUUGCUUACCUUAAGGUCUAAUAGAAGCAGCUCCAAAACAAGAGCAAGUAGUCAGCUUCAUGUGCCACCUUUCAGCCCAGGUCUGGCAAAGUUUCACAAGGAAAACUCCAAGGUGAACCCUAAAAUUAGUAAAGUGGGUGCUAUAAUGUUGCAAGAGUCGAAGUUGAACAAUUUGACAAUUCACUUAAAGAGUGUUGGAUAUUACAUAAGGACGACACUACUUACCUUAAGAUCUAAUAGAAGCAGCUCCAGAACAACAAGACGCAGUAGAGGAACUCAGUGAAAAUCGUAUUAUAAUCCGCUAGAAGAAAUAGAUGACGAAAAUCGAUGUAAUUCUCAAAAUCACUCAAAAUUGGCUCAUACUUCAACUGAACUCAAAUUUGAACUUCAUUUUCGGCUUACUAACCUGAAAUUCAAGUAGGAGCAGCUCCAAUUCAACUGGGGUUGAUGAGCAAACCAGUAGCGAUCCUUCGAUUUUCAAUUAUAAGAAAUAGGCAACUCGAGGUUCCUAAAGACAAAAGAAAUCCGCAUUCACUCAUAACAUCAAUUAUCUUAGUUUUACUCCAAGUAACUUCAAUUUGAACUCAAAUAAACUGUAAUUUGAACUCCUCUACUCCCUUCUCUCAAUAACAAACACCAAUUUCAUUGCUAGAGGUGCCGAUUUUGCACAAUUGGGUCCUUUUUUUUUUUUCCUCUCCUACCUCUCUCUACUGCCCCGCGAUUAACCUGCGGCCAACAGCUACUAGUGUUGUUUCUACUGCUGCUGCUGCUUCUGCUGCCAGCAGCUAUAGCUGCAGCUGGUGAUGUAGCUGUAGCUGUCAGCACAACUUGGUGGUGGUGCUACUAGCAGAAGUAGCUACUGGUAGCUGCGUGUGCACCGACAACAAUUUUGUGCCAACAACAAUUUUGCGUGUGCGCGAGAUUCGAUUGGAUCGCCAAGUAGGUCAAAAUCCUCAAUUCCCUUUCCCUAUCUUCUCCCUCUCCCUCUCUUUGAAGCAACAGGUUGGGGAGGGAUGGAUAAAGGUGGAUGGAUUCCACUUAAAAACUUAUAGGGUGUGUUUGGUUCCACGUAAAACUGGGAAAAAAAAUUUUUCGUGGAAAAAAGUUUUUCGUGGAAAAUUUAUUUUACAGUUUUUAGUAUUUGGUUUGUAGGAAAAAAAAAAUAGUUUACAGUUAUAGUUGUUUGUUUAAAUGGUUGAAAGGAAAAGGUAUAAAUUAUUUUUUACUAUGUAUUCGAUAUAUUAUUUAUUUAUUAUUUAUGAAUUAAAUAUAAGAUAAAUUUAUAAGCAUUUAAUAUAAUAUAUGUAAUAAUCUGCAUAUAAUAUUAUAUAAAUAUAUAUAAUUUUUAUAAAUAAAAAUAUAAAAUUAGCUUUUCUUUACUGUUGUUUGGUUGAAAGAAAAAAAAUUAUAAAUAAAAAAUUAUUAUAUAUAUUUUUUCUUAUUGUAUAUAUUAUUACAUUAUCUAUAUAUAAUAAUUAUUGAUGUAUAAUAAUUAUCAUAUUACAUAUAUUAAUAUUAUAAUUUAUAUUUAUAAAAAAAUAUAUCUAAAAUAUAUUAUACAUUAAUUAAUAAUGGAAUAUAAUAUAUAAUAGUAUAUAUUUAAUACUAUAAAAUAAAUUAUGUAUUUAUAAAUAAUGUAUAUAUAAAAUAUUACACAAUAAUAUAUUUAAAUAGUAAAAUUAUAUAUAUAUAUAUACUAGUGUAGUGACCCACGCGAUGCAGCGAAAAAAAAUAUUUUAAUAAAAAUUUACAAAUUAAAUAAAUAAAUAUGAAUGUAAAGAGGUAUUUGUGCAAAUAUGUAUAAUCCAUAUAAUUGCAGAAACUAUCAAAAUCAAACAGUUGACAAUAAUAAUUAUAAGACACCUAUCGUAAUGAUAAACGGCUCGUCUCGCUGUGACCUUAUCUUGGAUUCUUAAUACUUCUGUAGCUCCAUCCCCGCAGGGGCAGAGAAGAAAAAAAAUAUAACUAUAUUUGAUUAGACUUAAUAAUAUAAAAAACACAUUAAAAAAUAUUUAAAAUGGAAUCACAACUCAACAAAAAAUAAUAAAAGAAACCGGAAAAAAAAAAGUAAGAAUUAUAUGAGAAGAAAAAUUAUUACAUAGAUAUUAUAAAAAAAAUGUUUGAAAUAUUGCAAGUGAAAGAUAAUAAAUAUUAAAGAGCACACUGAAAAGAUUUUAAUUGACAUUUAACAAAUCAAAUAAACAGAUUCAUCCGUCCGAUUCUUUUUUUGAUGCAAAUCAAAUUUUUUUUAAAAAUCAAUAAUGAAGUAACCCGAGCAUUAUAUAUAUAUAUAUACACACACACACACACACACAUGCGCGACAUCGACGCGAUAUUUUAAUUAUUGUAUAAUACACUAUGAUAAUAAUCCAAUAUUAUCAGUGUCACAUUAGUGUCGGCUUGUAUUUAAGAGGAAAAAUAUAGAAACGAACAAUAAAACCAACAAUAAAAAGCCCCUUGAAUAAGCUUCUCAGGAGAAAAAAUCUCCAUAAUAAUAUUGGGAAAAAUAUUCUAAACAUUCAAGACAAAAAAAAAAUCAUCUCUCUGAAACAAAAAGGAACUUUUCAAGAAGUUAGAACAAAUUAAAAGAAACAUAAAAUGUGCCAAAAAUAAAAAAAAAACCCAAAAAUGCUUUCCUAAGCUCCAAGCGAACAACAAAUUAAAUGUGAAAAACGAAUAAAGAAACUACUGCUAGAAGUAGAGCUAUAAGGAAUCGAACCUUCUAUUCUAUUGCGCUCUCAAUUCAACAGGUGGAAGGUCAAUAAUCCUACAAAAUUUUGUUGAAGUACAUGCAUUCAAUUGUGGUUUUAUUGGGAGAUGAGGAGAGAACGGUUUUGAAAGAUGAGGGGUUUUGGAGGUUGGGAGAUGAGAGGGAAUAAUUUUGGUGCAAUUAUAUGCAUUCAAUUGUGAUUUUAUUGGGAGAUAAGGAGGGAACGGUUUUGAAGAUGAGAGGUUUUGGAGGUUAGGAGAUGAAAGAGAGCAGUUUUGAAAGAAGGCGGUAACGCCAUGUCAGCAAGAUAUUGGGGAUUCAUAGAUUAGUAUAUAUAUAUAUAUAUAUAUAUAUAUAUAUAUAUAUAUAUAUAGAAUUAUGCUACUAUACUAUCAAUAGUACCAACCCCUUGNAUAUAUAUAUAUAUAUAUAUAUAUAUAUAUAUACACACACACACACACACACAUGCGCGACAUCGACGCGAUAUUUUAAUUAUUGUAUAAUACACUAUGAUAAUAAUCCAAUAUUAUCAGUGUCACAUUAGUGUCGGCUUGUAUUUAAGAGGAAAAAUAUAGAAACGAACAAUAAAACCAACAAUAAAAAGCCCCUUGAAUAAGCUUCUCAGGAGAAAAAAUCUCCAUAAUAAUAUUGGGAAAAAUAUUCUAAACAUUCAAGACAAAAAAAAAAUCAUCUCUCUGAAACAAAAAGGAACUUUUCAAGAAGUUAGAACAAAUUAAAAGAAACAUAAAAUGUGCCAAAAAUAAAAAAAAAACCCAAAAAUGCUUUCCUAAGCUCCAAGCGAACAACAAAUUAAAUGUGAAAAACGAAUAAAGAAACUACUGCUAGAAGUAGAGCUAUAAGGAAUCGAACCUUCUAUUUUAUUGCGCUCUCAAUUCAACAGGUGGAAGGUCAAUAAUCCUACAAAAUUUUGUUGAAGUACAUGCAUUCAAUUGUGGUUUUAUUGGGAGAUGAGGAGAGAACGGUUUUGAAAGAUGAGGGGUUUUGGAGGUUGGAAGAUGAGAGGUUUUGGAGGUUAGGAGAUGAGAGGGAAUAAUUUUGGUGCAAUUAUAUACAUUCAAUUGUGGUUUUAUUGAGAGAUAAGGAGGGAACGGUUUUAGAAGAUGAGAGGUUUUGGAGGUUAGGAGAUGAGAGGGAAUAAUUUUGGUGCAAUUAUAUACAUUCAAUUGUGGUUUUAUUGAGAGAUAAGGAGGGAACGGUUUUAGAAGAUGAGAGGUUUUGGAGGUUAGGAGAUGAAAGAGAGCAAUUUUGAAAGAAGGAGGUAAUGUCAUGUCAGCAAGAUAUUGGAGAUUCAUAGAUAUAUAUAUAUAUAGAUAUAUAUAGAAUUAUGCUACUAUACUAUCAAUAGUACCAACCCCUUGGUACUAUUAAGUUUUUGGUCGUUGGAUGAAAGGAUGUGCGGUUAGGAUGAUAGUGGUCCCCGAUUAAAUUGAUAGUGGUCCCCUAGGGUUGAGUGGGUGGUUGGUUUAAUAGUAUAAUCUAACGGGUGGAAAUGAUCAAAGGAUAGAUCUAACGGUAGAAAACUCAAUAGUACCAAGGGCUUGGUACUAUCGAUAGUAUAGUAGCCGGACUCUCUCUCUCUCUCUCUCUCUCUCUCUCUCUCUCUCUCUCUCUCUCUCUCUAUAUAUAUAUAUAUAUAUAUAUAUAUAUAUAUAUAAGAGGGGGAGAGAGUCCACGGGUCCACCGUGGACUCUCUCUCACACGGUCCACGAGGUGAGGAUGCCUCGUGGACCGCGCAUGCUCAAAAUCCCUGAGCCGCGAUUUUGGGAGCUUGGAGUUUUCGUUUUCCGCGGACGGCGAGCGGAAAACAAAAACACAAACUUUUCGGAGAAUCUGUAAAAAGGUUUUCCAAAAGGUUUUUUUUACAGAUAACCAAAUAUUGGAAAACAAGUUUUCAACUGAAAAUUUUUUUUCGGAGCACUUUUAUAUGGAACCAAACAGCCCCUUAGUGGAAAUCCACUGCCCGUAUCACUUUCGUUAUUUAUUUUGGUGUAAGUGAAAAAUAUAAUGUUACUCAAGUUACGUUAGAGCUCCACUUCACCUACUCUCGAUUUUCUCCUCUAAAGUGCCGAACUUGACUUCCACCACACUCAACUUCCUCUAAAAAAUUAAUUAAACAGUAAAACAUAAACUCUACUUCCUUUAUAAUGGGUUAAAAUUGCCUUAUUUAUAAUAAAUUAGGAUUACAUUUAAAUAAUAAUAAAAAAUUUAAUUAUAUAAUAGGUUAAAUUUUAUAGUUGUAAAUUUACUACUAUAUUUCGGAGAUAAUGGGAUCUACUUACUUACAUCAGAACAAACAACGGAACUCAAAAAACUAAUUUUACCAGUACCAAGUUACAUCCAAACAAACAAAAAAAAAAUUGAAUUUAACUUUCAGACUGUACGAGUUACGUCAAAAUAAACAACAAAAAAUUAAUCACACUUCAGAAAAACUCAAACACCACUACAUUUGACUUACGUUGAAUCUAUAGAUUCGUCAGUCCAAACGCCUCCUAAGUUGCAACAAAUGAAAAGAAGUCCAAAACUAUACAAUAUUUAUAUUUCGGUCCUCCAAGAGUUAAAGAUGUAAGAUUUGAAUUCGUUUUUGCAUCAAUUUCGCGUCUAAAGGUCUCCAACUCACUUAGGCCCCAUAAGAAAAGGGUGAAUAGCAACUCAUAUUGUAAUCUUAUCUACUUGGCAAGGUCCAGAACUUUACAGCUAAAAGGUUAUAUUUGGUUUUAACUUUAAUCUUUGAAUUUAUUUUUUAAAUUAAAUUUCACCCGAAAUUUGGAUUAAAAUCAUGAUCAUAUUUUGAAUUUUAUUUGUACAUUUAAAUUCAACAUAAAAUUUUUAAAUUCAAAUUUAUAACUUUUAUAUUUAAAUUUAAAUUUUGAAAUUUGAAUUUGAAUUUAAAAUUUGAAAUUUAAAUUUUAAUUAAAUUAUUUUUAGCUUAGAACUUUAAUUUGAACUUUGAAUUCAAAUUGUUUCGACUAAAAAUUGAAAUUAUUGGCUGAAAUUUGAAUUCAAAAUUUAAAUUUUUAAGUUGAAAAUUAAAUUUAAUCCCUGAAACCUCCCCCUGCACUGGGCUCCUUUCCCCCGGCCCAAAACCCUAGACCCAAAAGAUUAAAAUACCCCAUCCCUCCCUAGUCUUGGCCCAAAAAAAGGAAAAAAAAAGAAAAGAAAAAAAAAAAAAAAAAAAAAAAAAAAAAAAAAAAAACAUGGCCUCUCUCAUUCCACAUCUCCUGCGAUCUUCGAUCUACCUCAUCUCGCGUCGAUCACCUCUCCCACCGUGACAAAGCUCUGCUAGGUCGAUCUGCCUCUCCGAUUGUAGAUGAACUCCUCCGAGAGGAGAUGAUGAGUCUCCCCUCGACUCCGCCAUGUUGAUCUCUUCGAGAGCUCCAUUUCCCACAAGACCAAUCCUCUCCUCAGGUGAAUACUCGUCUCAAUCUCUCAUUUUUAUUCAACGCUUCAAGUGAUCGUGAUGCGUCCAUUUCGUGCAAUUGCUAGGGUUUUACCGAUGCUUUUUGUGUUCUUAUUUUUGAGCUUCUGAUUUGAGCAAUUCGCUUGGAUAAUUUGCUGUGUUGCUUCGACAAAUUUUGUACAUUUGUUUAGAUUAGCCAUUUGCCGGAAACUUAACUACUUUCAGCUCUAGCAUAAUUUGUUUUGAAAUAGCUCGUUUGUUAUAUACCGACCGUCUCUAGCGCAACUGGCAAAGGGCUUGCUGAUUUUUACCUAAGGUUUCAAGUUCGAAUUGUAGUUGAUUCUCUUUUCUUAGCUAAGUUUAUUUCUAUAAAUGAAAUAAACGAAACGGGUAGCAUGCUACCUAUCUCUCAAAAAAAAAAAAUUCCGAAAAUGUUGUACAUUUUAUACUUGGAAUGACAAAUUCGUUAUUAACUUAUCGAGCCACUUGUGUUAGGAGAGUAUUAGAUACCAAUAUAUUCUUAUUAAUAAACUACUUAUAAUUUCUAGUUUCUAGUAUUCAUAAAAAUGAGGAUGACUUCUAACUCAUAACAGUUUAAUAUUCCUACCUUCUGUAGGAAUCUUCACUGAUCCCACUAUUUCACUAACGCUAUUUAUAACUGCACAACUAAAGUUAAUGAUAAUGAUUUGAAUAUUUUUAAUUAAAAAUAUAGAGAAUUUUUGAAAUGUUACAAAUCGUGAACCAAACAGGUCCAAAGGGUGAAUCUCCAUGCUUUAGUAUUCGGCAUUUGGUAUAUUGAUUAAAUUUAUUAGCUUUGAUUUGGUCAAAUGGUUGAAAAGGCAUGGAAUUGAUCGGUUUCUAUUGAUGAUAGGAAUAAUUUGCAAUAGUUGAAAUGUGAUAACGUUACAAAGCAUUAACGAUCAAAUCAUUAUUAAAUUAAGAUGGGUUCGGGUAGUCAUUCCUAAGGGCAUGUGAUCUUUCGAUGAUGCAUUUGUGAUAUUUAAAGCUAUUUUCUGUGGAUUAAUCUUCAGAGUGCCAAAGUCAUUUAGUACUAGUGUUUAAAGCUUAAUAUAGUGUAGACUCUUAGGUAUCGUUUGGUUCGGAGAUAAGCAAAAAGUGGUUAUUCUAGGGAUAGGUAUAAAUUGAGGUAUAAGCGGGGAUUAGAUCAAUUUUGCGUUUGGAUGAAAAUUGAGUUAUUCCUGAGAAUAUGAAAAAUAGAGAGUUUGGUUAGAUAAGAUGGAAUAAGAAGGAUAGUGGGUAGUUAUAAAUAAAAAAUAAUAAUAUUACCCUCUCAUUAUAUUUGAAUUUAAAUUUUUAAAUUUUAAAUUUAUAUUUUUAAUUUAAAAUUUUAACUUUUAAAUUUCAAAAUUUUAAAUUAAAAUUUAAAUUUUAAAAUUUAAAAUCUCAAAUUUUAAAUUUUAAAUUUUAAAUUUUAAAUUUUAAAUUUUAAAUUUUAAAAUUUAAAUUUCAAACUUUAAAUUUAAGAUCAAAUUUAAAUUUGAAAAAUAUAAAAUAUAAAAUUUUAAAUUUCAAAAUUAAAAUAUCAAAAUUUAAUUUUAAAAUUUAAAAUUUAAAAUUAUAAACUUUUUUUGAGAUUAUAAAUUAUAAAUUUUAACAAUUUAAAUUUUUACUUUUUAAAAUUUUAAAAUAAGAAUAGGAAUUGGAACAAUUAAUAAAAAUAAUUUAUUAUAAUAAAAUUAUAAAUUUGAUAAAAAUAAAUAUUUUAAUAAAUUUAUAAAUUUUUUAUUAUUAAUAAAUUUAUAAUUUUUUAAAAAUUUCUACUUAAACUUAAAUUUAAUAAAAGUAAUUUAUUAUAAUAUUUAAAUAUAAUUUAUUAUAAUAUUUAAAUAUAAAUAAUAUUAUAAAUAUAGUACAAUUAAUAAUUUUAUAACAAAAAAAUGUAUUAUAAUAUAUAAUAUAUUAUAUUUAUAUAAUUUAGUUUUAAUUCAAUUCAUAAUUUUAAUUAAGUUUGAAAUUAAACAUUAGAAUAGCACUAUUUCAUCAAAAUGGUGGAAUAGCAAAUCCCAUGCUAUUCCGGAAUAGUCGGGAAUAGUAAAGUUUGACCGGAAUAAAAUAUCCCGGUCAAAAAUUAUUUUGUUUAGCGGAAUAGCAGAGAUAACUUCUGUUAUCCUUGCUUAUACCGCCAACCAAACGUUGCCUUAGAUAUUGUGAUCUCUCACCUAUUCCUUUUUUUAAGUUGUAUGUUUCCUUGUCAACUCUUGUACAUAUUAUGUGUUUUGCAAAGCCAGGAAACUUCUAUCGAAUUAUUGAUCAAAGGGGUAUAAUCAUGGAGCUUGGAAUUUAAUCAGGUUUAAACGAUGCAUGUGGAACAUAUUUGAUGCAACUGGUGGAGCAAAAUUGUAGAAGUUUUGGUUUUGUGGAUAAUUGCUUUUGUUUUAUGGUACCUAAAAUGAAAAUGGCUUUAUAUCGUAAGCAUUCGUAUUGUGAAUUUGUUUCUCUCCAUCAGUCUUAGAAGACUAAUUAGUGACAGAAGUACUAAAGCAUUCCCUGUAUAGUUGUUCCUUUUGCCUUGUAGUUGCUGUUUUGUAGCUAUAUUUGCCUUUUUGUUGCUAAUAAAUUUGCAUAAUAUUAAUAUGUAGUUCACAUCAUCACAAUACAAUCACCUUAGUAUGAAGAAAAUUUCCUAUGGCGUAUUGUCAUUGUUGAUUCAUCUGUAGUAUAUGAAUCUUUCCUUUUCUUUUUUUCCUUGAAAAGGGAAGUCUCUUGAGUAUAUUGCAAAGCUCAAUGAUUUUCAAAGGCAGCAAUAAAUCUAUAGUCACUCUGAAAUAUGAAAUUGCAUAUAAAACUGCCUUUCUUUUCACUGUGUAUUGUUUUGAAACAGAUUUUCUUUUAGUUCUUACCUUUUAGACUCUUAUUGUGUUAGAUUAACCAUCUGUACCAGGAUUGCUUUCAGCUCUAACUUAAUUGGUUUCAUGUUUUCCAUCCCUCUUUUGAGUGAAUUGAUAUUUCUAAACUUCAAUGAGAUUAUUAUUGUCAUGUCGCGACGCUAAAGCCCAACCGGAUGCAUAAGCAGACCGCCAUAUGGACAGUUUUUUUUUUUGUAUGUGCCUGGGGUCGGAGUACAAAGCACCUACAAAUACUAUAGAUGGGAACCAAAACCCGAGAAUGCAAUUUAAAUCAAAACAAUUAAAUGUUUACAAAACUUGUCAAGGUUUUAAAAAUAUAAGUUUUACGACUAUAAAGAGUUUAGUUAUAAUUUUCUUUUCCAAAAGAGUAUCCUAGAAUAUAUUACUAUAUUCUAAAGGGCGUGGAGGGUUCUUUGUUUGUGGACACAUGUUCAUUUUGAAUAUUCGGUGCACCCGGUGUACCAUGGAUUAAGUAAAAGAGAUAUAGAUAUUGGGUUUAUUGGGUUUGUUGGGUGCUCCUGUUGUAGACCAUGGACCUACUAUAGAACAUAGGUGAAUUGGAUUUGUACUCUCUUAAACUUUAACACGUCGUUUCAAACUCUUUGAUAGUUGUAUUUUUUUUACACUUACAAAUUUUUUUUGACACUUGCAAUUUUUUGUUUUUGACACCUAAAAGUUAUUUGCCUACAUGUCAUGGUUAGAAAUUUUUUAUCUCUUUUGGUGAAUCGAGAAAAAGAAAAUUUUUAAUUUUUAUUCACCUAUAUAUAGUAACUUUUAAAUUUUUUACAACCUUUUCUUCUUCCGAUCCUCCCUCAGGUAUGUUCCUCCAUCAGGUAUGUUGUUGUUUGAAAUUCUGCUAUUUUUUAAUAUGCAUCUAGUUGAUUUAUUUCCUUUAGUUGAUGACAUUUUAUAAAUUGAAUGAUUGUAAAAUAGUAAAAACUAUCUUUAAAGAAAAGAUGAAAUAUUCAUUAACAAGUUAUUCUUGAUUUUUUUUCAAAAUAUUUAACUAAUCUUUGAUACUUUUUUUUUUUGUUUCCUUAUAGCUCUUUAUUAUCGGUGAAGAAGCGCAACUGCUAACAAAGUAAAAAAAGAAAAUUUUCAUGCUACUUGAUAAUAUAAAUCUACAACAUGCCUAGGUAAUCCUUGGGUGGGACUUGCUAAUUAAAAAAAAACUAACAUUUAAGAAAAUUUCCUUCAAGUAUAUGUAACAGUAAAUCAGUAAAUUAUAUGGAAUAUCAAACUAUAAAUUAUUCUUAAAUGAAUUAAGCUAGAAUGUUUGUACCAUAUGUGGAAAUUGAAGUACCAUUAGAUGAAGAUAUAGCUGAGAUUAUAAAGACCAAGAGCAAACUAGCAAUUAGUAGCAUAGAAAGUGAGGAGAUGCCGCUCAAAUAGCUGUAAAGUAUAUAUAUACAAGUAUACAUAGAUAUGCAAAUCCGCCCCGCCUCGAAAUCCGCCUCCUGCCGGCGCCCCGAAUCCGUCCCGCCAACUAAUAUUUUUUAUAAAAUUAUAAUAUUAUUAAUAUUUUGUAAAUUUUUAAUAAUAUUAUAUAUAAUUUAACAAUAUUAAUUAUAAAAAUAAAAAAUAUCAAUCACAAUUCAAAAUAAAAUUCAAAAGUUUCAAAUACAUUAGAAAUGAGAGUACUAAGUUAUUUGUAUUUUAAGCUUUUUUGUAAAUACUUUAUUUUUUAGAAAUAUUUUUUUAAAAUAUAAAUGAUUUUCGGGGCGGAUUCCGGGCGGAUCAUGGCAGGGCGGAUUCGGGGCGGGUCAAAAUUUCUCCUGUUUCCUGCCCCGAAUCCGUCUCGGAUCGUAAAAUUUACCCCAUUUCCUGCCCCGAAUCCGUUAUUUUCUCCCAUUUACUGCCCCCGUCGGGGCGGGAGCUCCACCAACCUGGAUCCGUUUGCAUCCCUAAGUAUACAAACAUCAUUGCAAAGUUGAUGUUGUUGACACUAACUAUAAGGACGUGGUAUGCUACAAAUCAAUGUUUGAAGAUAUAAAUCAGUUUUUUCAUGCUUUGAUCCACCAAAACCCCCAAUUAGAAAACUAGAAAAAGAGAAAUUAAAUUCAGAUGUGCAUCCAGUCUAGGGUAAGUUCCACAAAAUCAUAGCUAGAAUGAAGAUACUUAAAUGAUAUAUUGAGAGUUAGGAUAAAAAUAAUUGAUAGUUAGAAAAAAAAAUUAUAUUAGUUAAUUAUUAUUCUAUUUUGUAUACUUAAUAUAAACUAUAUUAAUACAUAUUCUAUUAAUUAGAUAAUAAAUUAAUUUAGAAAUGGAACUUCUUAUUAGUAACUUCUAUUGAUUUUUUUCUUCUUCUUCAGUUCGGAUCAAAAAUAGAAUAGUUUAAUUAAGUUGCCAAAGGGUAUACACUGAAGGCAUUGAUUAGCACUAACCUUAUUUUUCGGUAGCUAAAUUUGUUACUAUUCGAGCAUUACUUGCUAUAAUAGUAAUAUAAACUAUAUUUUACAAAUAUAAUUAAGAACAUACUUUUUGUACCUGCAGCAAAGCGCGGGUCAUCACUAUUAUACCUCUAUACUAGGUGGGGCUAGCGUGUGGUCUCACUCUGCACCAUGCUCUACUUUACCCGAUGUACCUGAAGAACAGGCCCACACGGGUUGCGAAACUAUAAAAUUUUUCGGUGGGUGCAUCAAGCUAAUGAGGGCAAGUUGCACCAACCGAUCAACAAGAUAACAAUAAUGAUAGCGUACGCUGACAGAUAGAACGAGCAAGUAUAAAUAAUGAAAAUUAUAUAAAUAGCAUCAAGAUAUCUAUGUUUGGAUGAGUAUAUGUUUGUGGUUAAUCAUGCAUUAACUAGAACCAACUGUACUAACUGUACAAACUGUAAAAUAUCCAAUCAACAGGUGGUCCCACAGAAUGGUACUAUAAGCCCCAAUGCUGAAUUGUGGCAUAACAGCCGAAUCGCAACCUAAUGUAUCGAAUUGUGACUACUCUUUCCGGAGAGCUCAACCUACCACGAGGUUAAUCAAACCACUGUCGUGGUGACAGGGGAGCAAAGCAUCAAGUAGCACGUCAUCAUGCUGUAUGAUCAACAAUGACAAUAACAAUAGAAAAUGUCCAAUACAACUAUAACCAACAACAAUAGCAGCCUCUCUAGCUAAUGUGAGUUGUAUUGCUACUUCUAGUCCAUCGUGUCCUCAUGAAUUUGUCAAGAUUUAACUAACAUACUUGCUACGGUAAGUAAAGGCAACAACAAAGUGAAUAAAGCUAAGCUAUGUUAUAGUAAGUACCAAUUAUGAGGUUGUUAGGCAAAUACAUAUGUUAUCAUGAACCAAGAUACCAAUGGUAGACUACUACAUGAUUAUCAUAAUGACCAAUAAACCAAGAGGGGUUGAGAAGAAUGAAUUAGUUCACCAGGGAAUCACUAUAGCUUUGGUGCAUUUGUGACUCUUUGAUCCUUAUUUGGACCUACGGAGAGUGUAACCACAUCAAACACCAUCUUACAACAUGGUACAUGACCAAAAGAACACAUAAAAAACUAUGAUUGAAGCUUCUGGAGUUUCGUAUUUCGGUAAAUAGUGUUGAGGUUCCGGAACAUGGCAUGAGGUUCCAGAACCUUUGGCCCAAUUUCGUAGAACCGAAACAAUUUGCACUAUUUAAUUGAGCAGGUUUUGGAGCUAGAUCCUAGUUUCUGGAACCAGAGCUCUCAAACUGAGCUUUGGCAGUGGCAACCUCACGAAAUUCGCUAAGUAGUGAUGUCGAUUCUACUAGAAUCAACUUCAAAUCACAAGAUAUAAUGGAAAAGCUCCGAAGUGAGGUAAAAGAAGCAUGGAAAAUUCAAUGUCCUAGAUCAAUUUUUACGGUUUCAAGGUUAAAAUCGAUAACAACAGUUACUCUAUGAAAUCAUCCAAGAGAACCUCAAUUGAUCAUUUAGAAAAUCUCAAAGAAGGCCAGGAUUUCAACAAGACAAGCAUGAAUGCUCAGUCUUUGCAAGCUUACACAAGAAUGGUUUUGCAGAAUUCUUGGGUUUCAAGUACAUUUUUCUAAAUUGAACCGGAAGCAUUAUCAACACCCACGUAAAUCUUAAAACCAAGGGAAUACUCAAGAAUCAGCAAGAAUCACUCAAUAAGAUCAAGGAUCAAACAAUAACUCACCUAGAUCUUGGAGUUUCUCCCAACAAAAAAGCCCAAGAUUUAAUAUCCCCAUGUUGAAGCUCCUUUGCUCGGUUGCCCAGUCGAGAAGCUUGAGAGGGGAGAAAAUGAGGCGCUCCCCUCACUUUUCAAUGCUGGGGAGAGGGGCUCGGCCGAGGACAAAAGAGUAAGGAAAAG
rnacentral:lncRNA from 1 species